rnacentral:lncRNA from 1 species
AGAAAAGUACUUCCUUUAUAUAUCAAAAUGUAAAGAUGUUUUUUUCUGGUUUUGCAUAGGGUAUAAAAACGUCUUAUAUUUUGUUACAGAUGGAGUAGAAAUAAAAGAGAAAGCAUAGCGAUGGAGCUAAACUGAUAAGCUGUUGCAUUUUUCAUCAGCAUUACUUCGUUCACUGUCAAUAGACAGCAUGCAGAACAGUUCCAAGACUGAAACGGACACAAACGUACAUGGCCGGACCAUUUGGACCGCUGUGUUGGAGUUGCUCUUAUUUCCUCGUCUAUUGUGGCGAGAUCGACAGCCUCUAACGACCGAGGACACAUGAAACCGCUGAAGUCACACACACAGGCCUGACUAAAAAAAGAGAUCAUCAUCCGACGCCCACUAUUCGAGGCGGAACUUGAAGGUGGAGCAGUGACCUAUAGCGAAGCCAUGGCCGCACCUCCAGCUCGACCCUCUCUUCUGGUUAUAACCAGGGUAGUCUUCUAUCUGAAAGGCAGCUUUCUCGACCAUAGCAAGCGAGGACUCGGAUGCUAGCUGCUCGAUACACCACAUGGAGAACGGAUGCUUGGUCUUGUGGGUGACGUGGAUCUCGCCGUGACGCCGGAGCAUGUGCCGCGCGGUGGCGAAGAAUCUCCACACCAGCUUCUGAUGCGACCUACACACAAGCGAGAUCGAUCGAUCGAUGGACAUCAGGUUCAUAUGUUAAGAGGUUUAAACAUAAGAUAGAUAGAUUACCACACAGGAGUCAAGACACUCAUACCUGAUUGUAUCUUCGUCGUCCUCGCGCCCUCUGAACCCGGCGUGAGGAAAAUUGAAGACGAUCCGAUCGAACAGUCUCGGCUCCAGAUCGGCGUGGAGAUUCAUCACUUUCACGUUGACGUCGUGCAGAACCGUGGCACCCAUCGCCUCAAGCUUCGCCACAUUGGAUGUUGCGUCGCUGUAGUUGUGGCUCAGACUCUCUGUCCAAGAGGAUUGCACGCAAAAGACGCGUGGGAAAUAGUUCAGUGCAAACUAAUUAAAGCCGAUGAUCAGAAAAAUCACACCGGGCCAAGGUAAGCAUGGGCAUGCACGCAUGUACGUUGAUGCUCAAAGAUAGAGCUACUCGCAGGCAUAUGGGCAGCGAGAGAGCUAGACGAAAGGGCCGAACCGUAGGAGUCGAGGGACGUGGCGACGAGGUUCUCGCCGGAGCCGAAGGCGGUGGCGAGCGCCAGCGAGAACGAGAAGUCCCCGUCGCCGACGACCAGGAUGUCCUGCGCCGAAGAGUAGUGCUUCAGCCACUUGGUUUCCGCCGCCCCAUCGUUCCACGCCACGGCCAUCGCCUGCACCUCGCCGGCGCUAUGUGCCAGUGAGUGUGAGGAACUGAGGAAGCGUGUGGGAGUCGAGUCUCAGUUCGAACUGAACCGUCCAAGGGGAGGGUUUUUGACCUCCGUGGAAGGGAGAUCAAGGGGCUGGGUCGCGCCUUGUGUUCUGCGCAUCUGCUGUGGAGUGAUCUUGGGCCGGACGUCCUCCAUAAAUUCUGCGCUCAUGCAUGGGAAUCCAGAAUGCUGAGUAGAUGGCCUUUAUUACGAAGUUUAAGAACUUUGAACGGUCUAUUUAUGUUUUUUUGCGAAUAAAUUCUUGCAUUACUCAAAAUCAAAUAUUUAUGUUUGAUCCUUUGGAUCAGUUGUCCCAGUAAGCCUUUUCAUUCUUGUACGAUUUCCAAAUUUUGGAGCGUACAAGAUUUCCGUGGAGAAAAUUAACAACCAGACAAGAAGGUACAACUGUACACACUAUGAAAAAAUAUACUCCAUCUAUUCCAUAUUCUACUGCGCGUAGGGUUUUGGGUCAUAUUCCAAAAUGUAGUGCGUUUAAGCGUCUUUAGUCAAAAAUAGCCCUCCGCUGAAUUAGUGCACCGAAAGCUACAUGCAUGCACGCUGCAUGAUAGUCUGAACAGUGAGGGGCAAUUCUAGUCCAAAUAAAAGGGCCAGCUCAUGUUUCGGUGUAAGGGCAUCUCCAACAGCUGUAAGAUAGGUGUUGAUAAAUUUGCCAUCUAGGACAUAUUGAUGAUGUGGCAUGUAAUAAAUGUGGAGAGAGAGCAAAAUUGUACUAUGUAGAAUAACCAAUAACCUUUGCACAAGCUCCAAGGUGAAAUAGAGAGCAAUCACAUUUAUUUUCUCAUCAUCUAUUGGAUACCUUAGAUACAACCCAUUGGAUUAGUUGUAUGAUAGCUUGUUGGUUGAUGACAUGAACAUUUUACCAACAAGACUAACAUACAAUCUAUUGAAGAUGCCCUAAGUGUCACAAACAAGACGCACUAUAAAAGCGAACGGCGGGAGUAUUAAAGUUUGCCCGCAAGAAAAAAUAUACUACACCCCACAAAAUUUGAACUAAAACCAUGUUAGUUAUUUCUGAAUGGAGGUAAUAUAUUAAAAUUGAUACCAAGUACAUCCGACCUCUAUGAGAAGUCGAUAGUAAUAUAUUUUUCCUUUAUCAAAAAUAUUGCUUAGAAAUAUUCAAAAUAUAUAUCACUUAGAAUGACAAACAUUUUGGGCAAUAUCUCAACAUGCAUUGCUUGUGCAAAAAAAAUACUAAUUCCUAAUGACUCACCGAAAGGUUUUUCCCAUGGGGUGGUGGUGAUUUUUCAGUAUGUAGACACCAUGGCACUUUUAUCACAGCUCUCACCCAAAUGGUUGAUUGAGUGAACAAUUUCUGGAUUUCAUGUAUGUUAGAGCAACUACAGUCGAGCGCCUCAGACCCCUCUCAAACGCCUAGGCGGACGGCCUGGUCCAUGACCUAGGCGGGCACUUCAAACCAUGGUCAAUCAUGAUUUUUUAUUGCGGUCAAUCAUUCUGCUAAGCCACUUAUUACUAAGGGGUACUUCAAACCCGUGCAACUUAUUACUAAGGGGUAUAAACCCGCGCAACUACUAUCAACUUAGUAGUAGCGCCGAUUUAUACCCCUCGCUACUAGUAAGUACAAGGUAGGUGAAAUCCCCAUAUCCUCGGUCGAAUCCCUCCUUUCUCCCUCACUCUCCCUCCUCUCUUCAUAGGCUCUCCCAUGGUGCUGCACACCUCCUCCUCCAUGGCGCCCAACGAGUUCACCUCCUCGCAUCGCGUGCCUCCCCCUCCAUGGUGCCAAAAGAGGGAGGCCACCUCGCGCCGCCGGCGUCCCGGAGCUCGCCGGUCUUCCCUGCAUCUCCAUGCCACCACGUCGGACCACCUCACCACCGGCGACGAGCCCCGGUGCGCCCUCCAUCUCAUUCCUUUCUUCCUUGUUUCUCUUUUCCCUCUCCAUGUCCCUCCGAUUUUACUCACCUCCCAUGCCCAUGCCUGCGCAGGUCGUCGGCAUGGCCAACGAGGAGCUCUCUGCCUUGGCCGUGAAGAGGACCCUCACACCGUCGUCUUGCUCUCCUCUGCACUAGAUCCGGUCCCUCUACAACAGCCGUCGUUGGAUCUGGUCUCCGCUGCCCGACAUCAUGCAUGGGGUUGAGAUUUUUUUUGGUUUUUGAAAUUAAUAGUAGUAGCGCGGGUCAGACACGUGCUACAGAUAGUUAAUAGUAGCGCAUGUCGAACCCGCGCUACUACUAACACACGUACUAGUAGCGCGGGAUGCACCGCAUUACUACUACUAGUUAGCUGUAGCGCCGUAGUAGUAGCGCAGGCACCGCGCUAGUAAUAGCUUUUAACCCAUGCUACUACUAGGCUUUUUCCUAAUAGUGUAUUUAGAUGACUUCCAUGAGGAGGCUAAUUCAAGUGAAUUCAAUCUGUCAUUUUGCAUGGUAGGGAUCAGAUAAGUUGUCAGUACGAGUAUAUCACAUCAUGGUCAUAUCUUGAUUUUACUAACAGAAAUAACCAAGUCAUGUUGUGAGCUUGAGAUAUAAGUGGAUAUCCCUUACACCAACCAAAUACCUUUGUUGGGGGUUCCACAUUGAACAAGGAUAGCAAAAUAUAGUUUCAGGUCUAACGUAGUUUGCAAUGACAUGAGUCUCCGAUGUUAGUGAGAUACGGAACUUCAGGUCCUGAUAUCACUUCAUUAUCACCCCUAGAUAGGAAAGGAUUUGUAUCCCUAUAAGAGAUAAUAUGACCAUAGAUGUAAUUUAUUGGUAUGAUAUAUCCAUAUUGAACUUUCCAUAUACGUUUCGGAUAUAUGUAGACUGAUAUGUAUGUAUUCUUAGAGAAUGCUCCAGUUAUAAAUUUAAACACAAUUUUGUUGAAUCUGAAAUUUUCAUCUUAAGAUCAUUUUGUGUAUGUUUAGGUCUUGUAUGGACAUUAAUGAUGAGUUCAUCGAUAUACACUAAGGUGAUGCACCAAAGUCAAGUUUUAUAUUCAUUUAUUAAACACAUAAAUAAGCAUCAUUAUUUGAGAAUUUCUUUGCAAGAAAGUACUCAUUUAGUCGGUAGUACUACAAUAUAAUUCUCUGACUAUAUAAAGUCAUGAAGCAACUUAUGAAGUUUUACAGUCCACUUGCCGACUCUUCUAGGCGUUUUGCUGGGCGUGCGUUGAUUUGGUCGGUUCUUGAGUCAUAGCUACACGUGAUGGGUGCCCCGCAUUUGUCGUGAUGCGACCUUGGUGUCCUCUGUCUCAUUUCCUUACCUUUCCUGAGGUUGGCCUAGGCUAGUUCAGGUUAUGUUGUUUUCCUUGUUCUGCUUCCCACAUUUUGGUGUGGUGCCCUCUCUCCCUUCUCUAUGCAAGGUUUUCUUCUUGUAUUAUUGUCUCUACCUACGAAUGAAAAGAUACGCAAGUGAAAAAAAAUACCACGCUGGCUAGCAGAAUUCAUAAAAUACGUACUCCAUGGAAGUCUACGAGUGAAAAGAUACGCAAGUGAAAUAUUUUUUACCACGAUGGCCAUCACAAUUCAUAAAAUACGUACUACAUGGAAGUCUACAAGGAGUAUAGUAAUCUACACAGUGAUGGGUCGAUGUCUCAUGAGCAUGCACGCCAUGUCCAUGGAAGUGGGUGGCAGUACAUGCGAUGCGACGGUCAAGCAGCGUCACAAGGUGCUCGUAAAAGGCCCAAUUUACGUCGGCGCCAGCGAGGGAAAUUUAGCGAGGCCAGCGCUGGAACUUGAAAGUGCAGCCGUUGCGUAGAGGGAAUUCCUCGUCGCACCUGUCACCGUCGCCUCUCUUCUGGUUAUACCCGGGGUAAUCCUCUUUACGGAAGGCGACCAUCUCAAACCUGAGAAGCGAAAACUCAAGGGCGAGACCCUCGAUUUCCCAUCUGUCGUACGGCUGCCCCGUCUUGUGGCUGACGUGUAUCUCGACGUGGGUGGCAGAAGUUUGUCACAUUGAUGCGUGCUUUCAACAGAACCAUUAAUCAAUUAUCAUUAACGGAAUGGAAUGCAACGUUUGCUUCCUAACGAAAUUGAACAGUUUGGAGUGUUCGGUAGGCAGGUUACUAGAGAUGAGAUGUUCUUCGAAUAUUUGAUGGCCACAAGUUUAUUUCUGCUAUGACUGGGAGUAAGAGUGAAUCACUAGCUUUUCUCUCGGGCUUUAUAUAUGAAAGACCAGAAGGGGCCUUUUGAACAAGAGCUUUGCUACACGUAUGAUGGUUACGGGAUAAGGGGAUUACACGGUGUCAUGGCAGUUUCUAAUUGGUCAUUAGUAGAUGCACGGGCCCACGCCCAUUAAAAUAGGUGAGGAGGAGGGGGGGCAUGUUUAGAACAAUAAUGCUACACCUACGUAGACUUACGUUCUCCUCCUACGUAACCUUCCUAACAAACCUCUCCACCCCCCUAAUUACAAGUGGGUGAGCCCCCACUCCCCUAAUUCGUCCAAUAGAAAACUACUACACACAUCAUUACGUUAAUCACAUAAAACUAUUUACGUAGGUGUAGCAUCUGCCAUGUUUAGAAUGUUUGAAAGGAGCCUAAAUAACCCCUGUAAAAACAAUGCACGGCAUGAGGGGGUACGUGGUUCGCUUUCUAUUUUCGAAUCAAUCUGCAAAGAGGAAGCCAACAACAACAAAACAUGUGAGGGAAUAAACCACCCCACGAAGCUGUGUAAAGGCAUCUCCAAUGCCGAUCCACAAAUUCCUUCGGUAUAUGUUUUAUGUCCGGACGUGGUUCGCGGAUAAGAAAAGGGAGGAAGUCACACUAGUAGAAAACAUGCCCAAGCAGGAGCAUCUUUGGUCCCAGUUGGUAACACCAACCGGGACCAAAAGGCAUCCACACGUCAGCAGCUGGCAGGAGCAGGGGUUUUUAUUUUAUUUUUUAAAGGGGGGGUGUCGGUGUCAAAACCGGCGGAUCUCGGGUAGUGGGUCCCGAAUUGUGCGUCUAGGCCGGAUGGUAACAGGAGGCAGGGAACACGAUAUUUUACCCAGGUUCGGGCCCUCUUGAUGGAGGUAAAACCCUACGUCCUGCUUGAUUAAUAUUGAAGAUAUGGGUAGUACUCCCUCCGUUCCUAAAUAUAAGUCUUUGUAGAGAUUUCACUAUGGACCACAUACGGAUGUAUAUAGAUGCAUUUUAGAGUGUAGUUCAUUCAUUUUACUUCGUAUGUGGUCUAUAGUGAAAUGUCUCCAAAGACUUAUAUUUAGGAACGGAGGGAGUACAAGAGUAGAUCUACCACGAGAUCAAGGAGGCUAAACCCUAGAAGCUAGCCUAUGGUAUGAUUGUUGUAUAUGGAGUUGAUUGCCUACGGACUACAACCCUCCGGUUUAUAUAGACACCAGAUAGGGUUAGGGUUACAUAGAGUCGAUUACAAUGGUAGGAGAUCUUGAAUAUCCGCAUCGCCAAGCUUGCCUUCCACGCCAAGGAAAGUCCCAUCCGGACACGGGACGAAGUCUUCAAUCUUGUAUCUUCAUAGUCCAGGAGUCCGGCUGAAGGUAUAGUCCGGCUACCUGAACACCCCCUAAUCCAGGACUCCCUCAGUAGCCCCUGAACCAGGCUUCAAUGACGACGAGUCCGGCGCGGAAAUUGUCUUCGGCAUUGCAAGGCGGGUUCCUCCUCCAAGUCCUUCAUAGAAGAUUGUAAACACCAAGAGUAGUGUCCGGCUCUGCAAAAUAAGCUUUCACAUAUUUCCAUAGAGAGAAUAAUAGUAACAGAAAUCAAAUCUGCUGACGUAUUCCGCAGUGCGUCAACACACUAUAGCCAAGUCCUUCACUCGAAUCGUUUUCACAUUUCCACCUCAGCGUGUUUUGCGAGGCGGUUUCCUUGGCACGUCUUGUCAAAGCAGAGAUCGUGUACCCCCCUUUUACUAGAUUCUCAUCAAUUCGGACGUGGGUAACCCAACUGCGCCACUUAUCACGGCGCUUAGGAGGCAAGCGAGUUUUACUAGGCAGAUGGGGACGCACAACCGCAUCCGCCCAUAUAAGGGGACAAGGAUCCACCUUUUUACCUACGCCUUCUUCCUCCUUUGCCUAUCCAUCUCCUGCGCACCCGAGCUCCAACGCCCAAGCCCGCACUUCCCACCUCAACCUUCUCCAGCAAUGUCCGGAGCGGGAGGCAAGUCGAUGGUCUCCUCCGUCACGGAGGGCAAAGUCAAGAAGCUAAGGAAGGCCGGAUACCUGUCCAAGGACAUCGCGCAUCGGCUUCUCGAAGAGGGGCAGCUUCUCCCCACCCCAAGGCCCCAUGAGAGGGUAGUAUUUCUCCCCCACUUCCUCCGCGGACUGGGUUUUCCACUCCACCCAUUUGUUCGGGGGCUCAUGUUCUACUACGGCCUGGAUUUCCACGAUCUGGCUCCGAACUUCAUCCUCAACAUCUCGGCGUUUAUCGUCGUGUGCGAGGCUUUUCUCCGCGUCCGCCCUCAUUUCGGCCUCUAGCUCAAGACCUUCAACGUCAAGCCCAAGGUGGUGCGCGGCAGCCAGGCGGAGUGCGGAGGCGCCAUGGCGGGCAAGAUGGCGAACGUCCUAUGAUUCGAGGGAUCUUUCAUGGAGACCCUAAAGGGAUGGCAAUCUGGGUGGUUUUAUAUCACCGAGCCGCGCGAUCCAAAAUGGACCGCAGCCCCCGAGUUCCGAUCCGGACCCCCUACACGGCUUAUGUCCUGGAAAGAGACAGGCCUGUCAUGGGGUGACGAAAAAGAGGUGACCGGAUUGCAAACAUGCAUCCAGUCCCUGGUGAACAAGCCUGUCCGGCUUGUUAAUGUAAUCCAGGUUAUGCUCAUCCGUCGGAUCCUCCCGUGCCAACAACGGGAUUUUAAUCUGUGGGAGUUCGACCCGGCGCAGCAUCAAACCCUCAGCAGGCUCUUCGACACGACGUACGAAGACGCCUGGAAGAUGCUAUUCAAGGGCGCCGAGGCUCCCGCAUCCGCUUCCGAGGACCGCGGAUACAGCUCACAGCGUCACGCUAGCGAGGUAUGCCAUCUACACCUUUUACAGGAUGUUAAGCUUUUUUCAUAGUUUGACUCUAUGUGGGAUCUAAACUCCCUUACCUUUGACAGGCUUGGCGGGCGAUAUUCGGACCGAUUAACUGUCCGGCUCCGCUGCCCGAAGACCCAGCCCCAGCUCUACUAGCAAAGCUGCUGGUUCCGGCGCCUUAUGUGGUGCCGGAGAAGAAGGCCAAGAAGAAGAAGACCACGGGGACUCGAAAGAGUGCCCGCAACGUGGUGGUGUCGGACUCGUCAUCUGACGAGUCCGAGACGCCCUCCUCCCGCGAAAACGAGGAGGAGGAAGAAGAAAACUCUCCCCCCCCAGCGGAGGGAGGAGAUAAGAGGAACGCCGCCCCAACGAGAGAGGACGAGGGGUCUAGGAAAAGGAAGACCCCUCCGCCGAACUAUGCCCCCAACACCGAAGAGGGCAGAGAGGAGUGGCCAAACAGGGCCAAGCGUCCGGCGAAAUCGUAAGUUCGGAUAUCAGAGUAACUCAUGAUGUUCCUUUGUUGCACAGCUUUCCCUAAUGUCGAAUGUAAUUAUGCAGUCCGCCCCGGGCCGAAUUUGACAAAUCAUCGGGCGGCUCCCUGGACUCAUCGGACGUGAACUCAGUUCCGCCCGCUGUCUCCCCCCGCACUGCAGAUGACGCCGAAGUGGCGUCGCAACAAGCUCCGGGGCAGGAGGAGGUGGUCCCGGAGGAGCCGCAAGGCAACCUCCCGGACUCCGGGAGUGAAGGGGAUAAGGCUCCUCAAGGCUCUCAGUCCGGCUUUGUGCCGGACACCGCACCGAAAUCUUCCACAGUUUCGGACCGCGGUAGGCGAACUCCUUCCAAGAGGAGCAAGCCUUCUCAGCCGGCGGCCUCCGUCCAACCGGAGGUGUCGGACAAUCUGCUGGAGGUGCUUGACGACGCCUCCAUCGACGAGGGGCACCGUACUAUUAUGAGUACGGUGAUCCAGAAGGUUCAGUCCACCAAGAGCGGACUGACUGAAGCUUGCGCUAGCCUUCUAAUAGGCUUCGAGGUAAGUAAAAAUAUGUAAAAAUAUUACCGCAUAGACAGUAGCCCCUGAUGCUCUGUUUGGCGUUCGGAAAGAAAAGCCGAAUAGAGGAUCUAUUAAUUUCAAUAUGCGUAUGCAGGCUUUGCUGCUAUCCACCGCUGCACUAACUGCGGAGGUGGGUGUCCUGAAGCAGGACCUCGAGCGGACCGAGCAAGAGCUCGGCCUUGCCAAGCGGCGGCUCAAGGAGGAAGAAGGUAAGAAAUACCUUACAGGAAAAGUGCCUAUAAAAAGGCUUGAUUGCAAAAAGAGUAACAGGAUUGUACUGCUUAUUGUAGGGGCCACGACUGAGGUGGCGACCCUUAAGCAGGCGCUGUUUGAGGCCGAAAAGAAAACGGCCGCGGAGCGCACCGAGCGAGACAGACUUGGGGCUCAGGUCGGCGAGGUGCAGCAAGAGCUUCAGGCUCUCAUGAAAAAACAUGAGAGUUUGGAGCUGGAGUCGAAGGCGCAAGCAUCCGAGCUUGCAACGGCCCUAGAGGCUGCCAAGUCUGCCAAGGCCGAAGCCCAAAAGGCCCUCCAAGAGUUGGAGGAGAUGAGGAAGAUAGCAGCGGGUAAGGCAUUCUUUAUGCAAAGCAGAAAUAUAAAAGUGAACUACCUGUUACUUACUCGAAUCCGAAGCUCUCCAGGGGCAUUCGCAGAUCUUCCCCGCAGAGUAUCCGACGCCGCCGCAUUCUACCGAGCUGAAGAGGGUAGCUCGAUGGAGAAGGUGUUCUGGUCUCAGUAUUCUGAGGCCGGACACCCUGUGCCCUUGAGCGACCAGCUGAAACAGCUGGUCGAGCUCCACAAGGCGGCCGAGCAGGCCAUGAAGGGCUUCAUAGUUCGGCUGUGGCCCGGAGAGGCCUUGCCUGGGAGCUAUUUCGGGCUGGUGCGGCGGCUGGUGGAGGCCUGUCCGAGGCUUGAGGUCAUCAAGCGCUCCGUCUGCAUCGAAGGUGCCCGUCGGGCCCUUGCCCGUGUGAAGGUGCACUGGGGUAAGCUGGACGGUGAGAAGCUUGUGAAGGACGGGCCGCCGCCGGGGAAGGAGCAUCGCAAGCCCGAGAACUACUACAAGGAUGUUCUUGCAGGUGCCCGCCUUGUGGCGGAUGAAUGUACCAAGGAUGUGAUGUUUGAAUGAACUCGCUCGUGUUUAUCCUGUGCGCUGAAAACUUGUUCAUAUGCGCUAAGCAAUGCUUAUUGAAUUUAAAAUAUUACUUUCUGUGCGGCCGUUUAUCAAAAAAUUGAGAGAUGGCCAGUCGUCGGCUUCUGCCCCCGUGCCACUAGUGCUGGGGUGUUCGGGAUAAACCUGAGCGCUCUUUUUCCCAUAGUUGGGUCCUUCGAGGGAGGCGCUCAGCACAACGAACCACGCAAUCGGACUAUAAUGCUUGAACACUCUCACUUAGCCAUAGAACUCUAUAAUUUUAAAUUUCAGUGAAGCCCCUAGUUUGGAAGACCGAGUUCGGGGCGCUAUCCACGCCUUGGCCGGACAAAGCCAGCUCCUCGCUCGAAGCGGCAUAAGCCUUUAGGGACUCGAAAAACCUCUCGAACAGUGACCGGUCUCUCGCCACAUCAUGAUAGUCAGUUUUAGCUUUCUCCACUGAGGUGCUUAACCCAGCUGAACUGGGGCACAAUCGCAGUAGUUCUCCUAGUGCUACCUUAGCCGAUAGAGCGGAACGUAAGGCACCAAAACAUAGGAGCCGGGCAAACCCAACUAUUGACCCAAAUCAUGAUUCGGAGCCGAUGCAUAUAGUGCUAUAAGUUCGGGGUGCCGCACUUGUGAAAGUGUACGGACUUCUCACACCAUUAUGAGGGGUACUGAAGCCCCUGGCGUGUUUGUCGUACCAUGGUGUACGGGUGCAAUCAUGUCAUUUAAUAAACAUAAAUGUGAAAAGAAGAUAAUGCAAAAAAUAGACAAGAAGCUAAGCAUUGUUUAUAGAGAGGCUAUUUAUCAAAGCCGAACGAUACAAAUAGUGUGGUAAGCAAAAGAUAUUGGACUAUUCAGUAUGUCCUGACCAGGGGCAGGCCGCGGAAUUGUAUUUAAAACAGGUAUACCGCUCGUAACAGAGACCACCUGGGAGUUCCAUAAUGCGGCAUGGCUUAUCUGCCUCCCUGGAUCUUGCAUCGUUUGUGCGGCAGUCGAAUUGCCGAACAGGUCGUCCGAAGUAUGGAGUCCUGAAAGUAAGAAAAAAUUAAAAAAGAAUCCGGCAGCCCCUAGUACGUUUUAAGCCAUAUUUUGGGUGUGCCGUUAUUGUGCCCCUUCCCCUGUGCCCAUGGUAUUUCAAGGGCGUAGUUAUGUACGCGAGGUACUGGUUUCGCUAUGUCGCGAAAGCUGGGGUUGGGGCCACAUUGCUACGCUUGCUCAGAGUGUGCCAGGCGGUCCUGCUGUGGGUUACUCCGGGCGCGCUUGGCAGUGUCUGGCUUUUUAAUGGCCGGACUAGAGAAUUGCCUGAGAAGGCUACUUUGUACCUCCGCUGCGAGAGCCGCCGUAUGCUCCUCCGUACGGAGGGAGCGUUCGGUGUUUCCGUUGACCGUAAUUACUCCUCGAGGGCCUGGCAUCUUGAGCUUGAGAUAUGCGUAGUGCGGCACCGCAUUGAACUUUGCGAAUGCGGUUCGUCCGAGCAGGGCGUGAUAGCCACUAUGAAACGGGACUAUAUCGAAUAUUAACUCGUCGCUUCGGAAAUUGUCCGGGGAUCCGAAGACCACGUCAAGUGUUACUGAGCCUAUACAGUUGGCUUCUACACCUGGUAUAACGCCUUUAAAGGUCGUUCUUGUGGUCUUAAUCCUUGAGGGAUCUAUGCCCAUUUUCCGCACUGUAUCCUGAUAAAGUAGGUUCAGACUACUGCCGCCGUCCAUGAGGACUCUUGUGAGAUGAAAUCCGUCGAUGAUUGGGUCGAGAACCAAUGCGGCGAAGUCGCCAUGACGGAUGCUAGUGGGAUGGUCCCUUCGAUCAAAAGUGAUCGGGCAGGAGGACCAUGGGUUGAACUUUGGGGCGAGUGGCUCCAUCGCGUAUAUGUCCCAUAGCGCACGCUUCCGCUCCCGCUUGGGAAUGUGGGUUGCGUAUAUCAUGUUCACCGUCCGCACUUGUGGGGGAAAGCCCUUCUGUCCAUUAUUGUUCGGCGGCUUGGGCUCCUCGUCGUCGCUGUGCAGCCCCUUGUCUCUGUUUUCGGCCCUUAACUUGCCUGCCUGCUUGAACACCCAACAAUCCCUGUUAGUGUGAUUGGCAGGCCUUUCGGGGGUGCCAUGUAUCUGGCACAAGCGAUCGAGUAUUCGGUCCAAACUGGACGGGCCCUGAGUAUUCUUUUUGAAUGGCUUUUUCCACUGACCGGAUUUAUAGCCUUUGAAUCCGGCAUUGACUGCCGUGUCUUCAUUGCUGUCGCUGCUAACGCGGUGUUUUUGCUUAUUCCGACAUGUCCUGCCACUUUUAUCCUUGGUAUCCGAAUUACCAGGGCUCUUUGAUAAGUUGUUACUAUGAGCUAGCCAGCUGUCUUCUCCCGCGCAAAAGCGGGUCAUGAGUGUUGUGAGGGCUGCCAUGGAUUUCGGCUUUUCCUGUCCCAGGUGCCGGGCAAACCACUCGUCGCGGAUGUUAUGCUUGAAGGCUGCUAGGGCCUCUGCGUCCGGACAGUCGACUAUCUGGUUUUUCUUUGUUAGGAACUGUGUCCAGAAUUGUCUGGUCGAUUCCUCUGGCUGCUAAAUUAUGUGGCUUAAGUCGUCGGCAUCGGGUGGUCGCACGUAAGUGCCCUGGAAGUUGUCGAGGAAUGCGGCUUCCAGGUCCUCCCAAGAACCGAUUGAGUCUGCUGGCAAGCUGUUAAGCCAAAGCCGGGCCGGUCCUUUAAGUUUGAGCGGGAGGUAUUUGAUGGCGUGUAGAUCAUCGCCGCGUGCCAUGUGGAUGUGAAGGAGAUAAUCCUCGAUCCAUACCGCCGGAUCUGUUGUGCCAUCAUAUGAUUCGAUGUUUACGGGUUUGAAACCCUCUUGGAUUUUAUGAUCCAUUACUUCAUUCGUGAAGCAUAGCGGGUGUGCGGCGCCUCUGUACUGGGCUAUAUCACGACGCUGCUCGGAAGAGCUAUGUCUGUUGUGUUCGGCCCGGCCGGAUUUGUUGUAUCCGGAGUGAAGAUCAUUGUCACAUGUCGUAGGGCGCCUGCGCGAUCCGUAGAUCGAUCUUGUUUGUCUUGCCUUAUCCUCCAGUAUGUCUCGCAGGUCAGGCGCAUUUUCCCGUGCCUUAGUUGAGCGGUGGCGGGGCAUGGCUUGGGUUGAGGGCCGAGAGGCCUCUCUGUCGCGGCUGCGAGGUGGCCGGUCUGCCAUGUCAUGUGUUGGUGAUGUAGGUGCUUCCUCCUCUGAUCGGGGUAGCGGCCUGCGCUUCGGGUAACUCUUGGAGGGGCGUUCGAGUUCAUACUCUUCGGCUGCAAGGACUUCAGUCCAUCUAUCAGCUAGCAAAUCUUGGGCAGCUCUAAGCUGUUGCUGCUUUUUCUUGAGGCUGCUUGCCGUGGCUAAAAGCCUGCGUUUAAAACGCUCUUGUUCGGCGGGGUCUGAUGGUAUGCCGAAUUCGUCGUCAUCGAGGCUUGCCUCGUCUCCGGAGGGAGGCGUAUAGUUAUCAUCCUCGACCUCUCGGUCUGCCGCUCUCUCAUGAGGGCUGGCUUCUCCAUCUUCUUGUGCCGAAUCUUGCUGAGGUGGGUGUUCUUCGGCGCUAUCCGGGGUAGUAUUAUCUCCCGUGCCGGAAUCACCAUUUUUGCUUUGGCGGGAUUUAGAGCGGCGCCGCUGACGCCGACGCUUUGGUUGUUUCUUGGGGGCGUCAUCCCCCACUGUUCCAUCGCCAUCUCCAUCUUUUGGAGUAUCCACCAUAUAUAUGUCAUAUGACGAGGUGGCCUUCCAGUGCCCUACUGGUGCUGGUUCCUGUUCGUCUCCUACAUCGUCGUCCAUGCCGUCGAUGUCUUCGGAGCUGAAGUCAAGCAUGUCGGUUAGAUUGUCGACAGUGGCUACAAAGUGGGUGGUGGGUGGGCUUUGAGUUUCCUCAUCGUCCGUAUCCCACCCUCGCUGACCGUAGUCCGGCCAGGGCUCUCCUGAUAAAGAGAAAGACUUAAGAGAAUUCAGGGUGUCACCAAAAGGCGAAUGCUGAAAGAUGUCUGCGGCGGUGAACUCCAUUAUCGGCGCCCAAUCGGAUUCGAUUGGCAGGGGCGCGGGGGGUUCGGAGUCCGGGGAGGAGUCCGGAUCCUCGGAGUCACGGGUCGUGCAGAGUGCGGAGCUAGCGUUCGGCUCGAUCGCUUUCGGGAUCGCAGCCCCCGAGGUGACGUCCAACCGCUCAUCCUCGAUUGGCGCAAUAGGCUCCGAUUUAGGGGUCGGAACCGAUGCGUGUGCGGCCUCCAGGACACUGUCCGGGGGCAGAGCUAGAUCAUGCCCCUCGAGAUAGUGCGGCGCGCUUGGCCGUGGCUCGAGCCCGUCGAAGAUCAAGUCUCCGCGGAUGUCAGCCGUGUAGUUUAAGCUUCCAAACCUGACUUGAUGGCCAGGGGCGUAGCUUUUGAUCUGCUCCAAGUGGCCGAGCGAAUUGGCCCGCAGAGCGAAGCCGCCGAAGACGAAGAUCUGUCUGGGGAGAAAAGUCUCACCCUAGACCGCAUCGUUGUUGAUGAUCAAAGGAGCCAUCGGGCCUAAAGGCGACGACACAGAGGAACUCUCAAUGAAAGCACCAAUGUCGGUGUCAAAACCGGCGGAUCUCGGGUAGUGGGUCCUGAACUGUGCGUCUAGGCCGGAUGGUAACAGGAGGCAGGGAACACGAUGUUUUACCCAGGUUCGGGCCCUCUAGAUGGAGGUAAAACCCUACGUCCUGCUUGAUUAAUAUUGAUGAUAUGGGUAGUACAAGAGUAGAUCUACCACAAGAUCAAGGAGGCUAAACCCUAGAAGCUAGCCUAUGGUAUGAUUGUUGUAUAUGGAGUUGAUUGCCUACGAACUACAACCCUCCAGUUUAUAUAGACACUGGAUAGGGUUAGGGUAACAUAGAGUCGGUUACAAUGGUAGGAGAUCUUGAAUAUCCGCAUCGCCAAGCUUGCCUUCCACGCCAAGGAAAGUCCCAUCCGGACACGGGACGAAGUCUUCAAUCUUGUAUCUUCAUAGUCCAGGAGUCCGGCUGAAGGUAUAGUCCGGCUACCCGAACACCCCCUAAUCCAGGACUCCCUCAGGGGGGGGGGUUAGGGGUUUUUGGAGGGUUAAUUUAGGGGUUUCCUAUAUUGUGUUAGCUAGCUAAUAGAGAGAAGUGACCUCUCUUAUCUCCGUGCUUGGUCGACUCUAGCUACUAUACAAAUAGAGAGAACUCGACACGCUAGCUAGUAAGCAAAUGAAGGAACCAUUAAUUACACAAGAUCGCCAUGAACAUAUACAGAGAGGAGUGCAUCUCUCUUUCUCCGAGAGAUUUGUCGAACAACAAGUUUUCGUAUAUCUAUCUGACGCUACUAGCUACAUAUAUACAAUAUAAGAUCUCUUGCAAUCCCUAACAUCUCAUGUCUAUAUCAAUUUCCAUAUGGUAUUCUCCGGCUUUAUUGAUGACGUGGUCAAGAAAGAAUCCCGCCAAUUCCUCUUGAAUUGCUCGUAUGUGAUCUUGUGGUAGGAGUUCAUCCCGCAUCUGCCAGAUCUAAAUUGAAGAAUAGGGUCAAUACAUGUAUAUGAAUGAAACUAAACACAAAUGAUGGUAAUAAAAUAAAAUUGUGAAUAUUUUUGCUUACACACUUCAUAUUGUUUUCUAGAGUAGCCCCGCUUAUUAGAGGUCGUCGCGUUGUAGAUGAACUCGCAAACAUUGUAUCCACAAAAAUCAUUCCCGGAUUCCUGCCACAAACACUUUACAAGAAAUAGAGGUCAAUCAAACUAAUAAGCAAGCAUGCUAAAUGGUAUUGAUGAAAGUAGCUAGAAUCAAUGGAAGAUGCGCGGAACUAGGUAGUAGUACUUACUUUCAGGUGUGUAAAUCGCAGCUCGCUCGGCAGCCCGGAGAAAUUACGGGUGAACUCUUUCCAAACCCUGCCAGACAAUGAAAAUAAUUACUUGAUAUCAGGAAAUGAACAAAGUUGCCGAUAUGGUGCGAUAAUGAUCGAUUGAACUUACCUCUAGAGCAUUUGAGUCAUGUCCACACAGUCCUCAGGAUCUUUUCGUCUCGAGUCUAAGACAGUUACUACUCCCUGCUCAAGCUUAAUCUCUAGGAGAAUAUAGUGGAAGCUGUGCACGCAUGCAUAACUCAUCAGUUACAUUACUAUAACCUUGAUUAAUAAGGGAAACCGAAUAUGCACAAGACAGCAACACUCACUUGAAGUUGUAAGGAAAGAGUAUUUUAUCUUUGCUUUGAUUUUUGAGCAACGAUUGUAGCAAGUUGUCCUAGGUUUCUAUGACAUUUUUUAACCGUCCAUUCAUGUAUGAUAUUUGGGUUAAUGAACCCAAUGUCAUAGAUUUGUGCUUUUCUGCAUUCGUGUUGGGGAAAGCAGUAUUUCAAAAUAAAUCCUACGAUCACGCAAGAUCUAUCUAGGAGAUGCAUAGCAACGAGAGGGGAGAGUGUGUCCACGUACCCUCGUGGACCGAAAGUGGAAGCGUUUAGUAACGCGGUUGAUGUAGUCGAACAUCUUCACGAUCCAACCGAUCCAAGUACUGAACGUACGGCACCUCCGUGUUCAGCACAUGUUUAGCACGAUGACGUCCCUCGAGCUCUUGAUCCAGUUGAGGAUGAGGGAGAGUUCCGUCAGCACGACGUCGUGGUGACGGUGCUGAUGAUGUGAUCCGCACAGGGCUUCGCCUAAGCACUAUGACAAUAUGACAGAGGUGGUAAACUGUGGAGGGGGGGCAUCGCACACGGCUAAGACAAUUGAUCUUGUGUGUUCUAGGGUGCCCCUGCCCCUGUAUAUGAAGGAGGAGAGGGGGAGGCCGUCUGGCCCCUAUAGGGCGCGCCAAGAGAGAGGAGUCCUACUAGGACUUCAACUCCAAGUAGGAUUCCACUUGGUGGAAGGGGAAAGAAGGAAGGGAGAGGGAAAGGGAAAGGGGGGCGCUGAUGUCUACUACGCAACCUUCUUCUUGUAGACGUUGUUGGGCCUCCAACUGCAGGGGUUUGUAGGACAGUAGCAAAUUUCCCUCAAGUGGAUGACCUAAGGUUUAUCAAUCCGUGGGAGACGUAGGAUGAAGAUGUUCUCUCUCAAACAACCCUGCAACCAAAUAACAAAGAGUCUCUUGUGUCCCCAACAUACCCAAUACAAUGGUAAAUUGUAUAGGUGCACUAGUUCGGCGAAGAGAUGGUGAUACAAGUGCAAUAUGGAUAGUAGAUAUAGGUUUUUGUAAUCUGAAAAUAUAAAAACAGCAAGGUAACUAAUGAUAAAAGUAAGCACAAAUGGUAUUGCAAUGUUAGGAAACAAGGCCUAGGGUUCAUACUUUCACAAGUGCAAGUUCUCUCAACAAUAAUAACAUAAUUGGAUAAUAUAGCUAUCCCUCAACAUGCAACAAAGAGUCACUCCAAAGUCACUAAUAGCGGAGGACAAACGAAGAGAUUAUUGUAGGGUACAAAACCACCUCAAAGUUAUCAUUUCUAAUCGAUCUAUUCAAGAGUCCGUAGUAAAAUAACACAAAGCUAUUCUUUCCGUUGAAUCUAUCCUAGAGUUCGUACUAGAAUAACACCUUAAGACACAAAUCAACCAAAACCCUAAUGUCACCUAGAUACUCCAAUGUCACCUCAAGUAUCCGUGGGCAUGACUAUACGAUAUGCAUCACACAAUCUCAGUUUCAUCUAUUCAACCAACACAAAGAACUUCAAAGAGUGCCCCAAAGUUUCUGCCGGAGAGUCAAGAUGAAAACGUGUGCCAACCCCUAUGCAUAAGUUCACGAGGUCACGAAACUCGCAAGUUGAUCACGAAAACAUACAUCAAAUGGAUCAUGUGAUAUCCCAUUGCCACCACAGAUAAGCACAUGCAAGACAUACAUCAAGUGUUCUCAAAUCCUUAAAGACUCAAUCCGAUAAGAUAACUUCAAAGGGAAAACUCAAUCCAUCACAAGAAACUAGAGGGGGAGAAACAUCAUAAGAUCCAACUAUAAUAACAAAGCUCGCAAUACAUCAAAAUCGUUCUGAAUCAAGAAAACGAGAGAGAGAGAGAGAGAGAGAGAAAGAGAUCAAACACAUAACUACUGGUACAUACCCUCAUCCCUGAGGGUGAACUACUCCCUCCUCGUCAUGGAGAGCGCCGGGAUGAUGAAGAUGGCCACCAGAGAGGGAUCCCCGCUCCGGCAGGGUGCCAGAAUGGGUCUAGAUUGCUUUUCGAUGGCUACAGAGGCUUGCGGCGGCGGAACUCCCGAUCUAGGUUUCUUUCUGGAAGUUUUGGGUUAUAUGAGAGGUGUUGGAGUCGGGAACAAGUCAGGGGGGUCCCCGAGGCGGCCAUGAGGUAGGGGCGCGCCUAGGGGGUAGGGCGCACCCCCACCCUCCUGGUGGCCUCAGGACUCUUCUGGCCCAUCUCCGGUACUCCGUGGGUUUCUUCUGGUCCAAAAAUGAUCUCCAUCAAAUUUCAGGUCAAUUGGACUCCGUUUGGUUUUCCUUUUCCGCGAUACUCAAAAACAAGGAAAAAACAGAAACUGGCACUGGGCUCUAGGUUAAUAGGUUAGUCCCAAAAAUCAUAUAAAAUAGGAUAUAAAACAUCAUAGAUGGAUAAUAUAAUAGCAUGGAACAUUCAAAAAUUAUAGAUACAUUGGAGACGUAUCAAGCAUGCCCAAGCUUAAUUCUUGCUCAUCCUCGAGUAGGUAAAUGAUAAAAUCAGAAUUUUUGAUGUGGAAUGCUACCUAACAUAUUUAUCUAUGUAAUCCUCUUUAUUAUGGCAAGAAUAUUCAGAUCCGUAAGAUUCAAGACAAAAGUUUAAUAUUGACAUAAAGAUAAUAAUAAUUCAAGCAUACUAACUAAGCAGUCAUGUCUUCUCAAAAUAACAUGGCCAAAGAAAGCUUAUCCCUACAAAAUCAUAUAGUUUGGCUAUGCUUCAUUUUUUCACACAAAAAUGCUCCCAUCAUGCACAACCCCGAUGACAAGCCAAGCAAUUGUUUCAUACUUUAGUAAUCUCAAACUUUUUUCAACUUUCACGCAAUACAUGAGCGUGAGCCAUGGACAUAGCACUAUGGGUGGAAUAGAAUAUAAUGAUGGGGGUUGUGUGUAAAAGACAAAAAAAGAAAGUCUCACAUUGAUGCGGCUAAUCAACGGGCUAUGGAGAUGCCCAUCAAUUGAUGUCAAUGCGAGGAGUAGGGAUUGCCAUGCAACGGAUGCACUAGAGUUAAAUGUAUGAAAGAUCAACAAAAAGAAACUAAGUGGGUGUGCAUCCAACUUGCUUGCUCAUGAAGACCUAGGGCAUUUCAGGAAGCCCAUUGUUGGAAUAUACAAGCCAAGUUCUAUAAUGGAAAAUUUCCACUUAGUAUAUGAAAGUGACAACAUAAGAGACUCUCUAUCAUGAAGAUCAUGGUGCUACUUUGAAGCACAAGUGUGGAAAAAAAGGAUAGUAGCAUUCUCCCCUUUUAUUUCUUUUUUGUAUUUGACCUUUCUUUUUUUCCUUUUUUGGCCUUUUUUUCUUUUUUUGGGACAAUGUUCUAUUAAUGAUGAUCAUCAAACUUCUAUUUAUUUACAACUAAAAUAUUACAACUCGAUACUAGAACAAAGUAUGACUCUAUAUGAAUGCCUCCGGCGGUGUACCGGGAUGGGAAAUGAAUCAAGUGUGACAUGUAUGACAAAUUAUGCAUGGUGGCUUUGCCACAAAUACGAUGUCAACUACAUGAUCAUUCAAGGCAGUAUUACAAUUAUGAAGCAUGUCAUAAUAAACGGAAUGGUCGAAAGUUGCAUGGCCAUAUAUCUCGGAAUGGCUAUGGAAAUUCUAUAAUAGGUAGGUAUGGUGGAUGUUUUGAGGAAGAUACAAGGAGGUUUAUGUGUGACAGAGCGUAUCAUAUCACGGGGUUUGGAUCCACCAGUGAAGUUUGCACCAACUCUCGAGGUGAGAAAGGGCAAUGCAUGGUACCAAAGAGGCUAGCAAUGAUGGAAGAGUGAGAGUGUGUAUAAUCCAUGGACUCAACAUUAGUCAUAAAGAAAUCAUAUACUUAUUGCAAAAAUCUACAAGUCAUCAAAAACCAAGCAUUACGGGCAUGCUCCUAGGGAGAUAGAUUGGUAGGAAAAGACCAUCGUUCGUCCCCGACCGCCACUCAUAAGGAAGACAAUCAAAGAAACACCUCAUGCUUCAAAUUUGUCACACAAAGGUUACCAUACAUGCAUGCUACGGGACUUACAAACCUCAACACAAGUAUUUCUCAAUUUCACAACUACUUAACUAGCAUGACUCUAAUAUCACCAUCCUCAUGCCUCAAAACAAUCAUCAAGUAUCAAACUUCUCAUAGUAUUCAAUGCACUCUAUAUGAAAGUUUUUAUUAUAUCCCUCUUGGAUGCCCAUCAUAUUAGGACUCGUUUCAUAACCAAAGCAAAUUACCAUGCUGUUUAGGACUCUCAAAGUAAUAUAAGUGAAGCAUGACAGUACAUCUAUUUCUUUAAGAUAAAACCACCGCCGUUCUCUAAAAGAUAUAAGUGAAGCACUAGAGCAAACGACAAACUACUCCUAAAUAUAUAAGUGAAGAUUAACGAGUAGUUGAAUAAUUAUGAAACUAUGUGAAGACUCUCUAACAUUUAAGAAUUUCAUAUCUUGGUAUUUUAUUCAAACAGCAAGAAAAACAAAAUAAAAUAAAAUAACGCUCCAAGCAAAACACAUAUCAUGUGGUGAAUAAAAAUAUAGCUCCAAGUAAAGUUACCAAUGAACGAAGACGAAAGAGGGGAUGCCUUCCAGGGCAUCCCCAAGCUUAGGCUCUUGGUUGUCCUUGAAUAUUAACUUGGGGUGCCAUGGGCAUCCCCAAUCUUAGGCUCUUUCCACUCCUUAUUCCAUAGUCCAUCGAAUCUUUACCCAAAACUUGAAAACUUCACAACACAAAACUUAACAGAAAACUCGUAAGCUCCGUUAGUACAAGAAAAUAAAUCACCACUUAGGUACUGUUAUGAACUCAUUCUAAAUUCAUAUUGUUGUAAUAUCUACUGUAUUCCAACUUCUCUAUCGGUCAUACCCUCCGAUACUACUCACAGAUUCAUCAAAAUAAGCAAACAACACAAAGAAAACAGAAUCUGUCAAAGACAGAACAAUCUGUAGCAAUCUGGAGGUUUCGAAUAUUUCUGUCACUCCACAAAUUCUGAAAUAAAUUGGUGUACCUGAGGAAUUUGUCUAUUAAUCAUCUUCAAAAAUAAUCAACCUAACCGCACUCUCCAUUAAAAAAUGGCAACUAAUCUCGUGAGCGCAAAAGUUUCUGUUUUUUACAGCAAGAUCGCAAAGACUUCACCCAAGUCUUACCAAAGGUUCUACUUGGCACAAACACUAAUUAAAACAUAAAACCACAUCUAAAUAGAGUCUAGAUGAAUUAUUUAUUACUAAAGAGGAACAAAAAUCAAGGAACAAAAAUAAAAAUUGGGUUGCCUCCCAACAAGUGCUAACGUUUAACGCCCUAGCUAGGCAUGGUGAUUUCAAUGAUGCUCACAUAAAAGAUAAGAAUUGAAACAUAAAGAGAGCAUCAUGAAGAAUAUGACUAGCACAUUUAAGUCUAACCCACUUCCUAUGCAUAGGGACUUUGUGAGCAAUCAACUUAUGGGAACAAUAAUCAACUAGCAUAGGAAGGCAAAACAAGCAUAGCUUCAAGAUUUUCAACAUGUAGAGAGGAAACUUGAUAUUAUUGCAAUUCCUACAAGCAUAUAUUCCUCCAUCAUAAUAAUUUUCAUUAGCAUCAUGAAUGAAUUCAACAAUAUAACUAUCACAUAAAGCAUUCUUUUCAUGAGCCAUAAGCAUUGAUGUUUUGUUACUCUCCACACAAGCAAAAUUCUUCUCAUUCGGAAUAGUGGGAGCAUCAUAAGAAACUCGAAUACUAUAAAUUGGUUCCACAUUAAAGGAGUAAUGUUCAGAAAAAGGGUAAUCAUAAUCAUGACAAGUUUUAUAAAUAUAAUCAUCUCUUCUUUUUAUAGCAUAAGUAUCAUCACAAUAAUCAUCAUAAGUAGAAACUUUGUUCUCAUCAUAAUCAAUUGAAACCUCUUCCAAGAUAGUGGAAUCAUUACUAAAUAAAGUCAUGACCUCUCCAAAUCAACUUUCAUAAUUGUCACAAUAAGAUUCAACAUCCUCCAAAAUAGUGGGAUCAUUACUUCCUAAAGUUGAAACUCUUCCAAACCCACUUUCAUCAAUAUAAUCAUCAUAAAUAGGAGGCAUGCUAUCAUCAUAAUAAAUUUGCAUAUCAAAACUUGGGAGGUUAAAAAUAUCAUCUUCAUAAAACAUAUCAUCUCCAAUCUUGGGACAAACAUUAAUUGCAGCAAAUAAAUUCUCAAACAUGUCAUUUUCAUCAAAUAUAGCAUCCCCAAGCUUGGGCCUUUUCAUAUCAUAAGCAUAAUCACUCUCAUCAUUAAUAGUAUGGAUAGCACCAAUAUUAUAUCAACUAAUAUCAUCACAAUGAGUAGUAGGAGAAACAUCAUUUGAGAGGGAUGCCUUUUUACCUUUGCUUCUCCGUCUUUUCUUUUUAUUCUCUACAUCAUGUGUGGGUUUAAUCCUCUUUUCGGAGAUCCUUAUUAAUGAGAUUGGUUGAAUAGAAGGCUCCUCCUCGUUACCUGAUUCAUCAUAAGAAAUAAUAGGAGGAUAUUGGGAAGUCUCUUCCCUUUCAUUAGUAUUAUCUUCAUCUUCUAAUUGUUUUCUUGACUUUAUGUAAUUGUUAAUAUAAGGAUUUUCAAUGCAAUUCACCGCACAAGACAUAUAAAUUUCCUCUGGAUAAAAUCAAGAAAUUUAUCAAGGGAAAAUUCUGGAAUAUCCUUAGUUAUAUGUUUCAUUUCUUCAUAACCCAGAAGCAAACUAAGUUCAUUAUGAUGCGCAAGUGAAAUCAAGUCAUCAGAAUUUUUGGACACGAUUCGAUCAUGAAACAAUUUGCAUUGGAUAUUUAAAUGACCACAUUCAUUGCAAAGUUCACAAGGGUGGCUAGGAAAAUUUAAAUUUUCAGCACAAACACCUAGCCUUUCUUGCAACCAUUUAGUUUCUAAAUACUUAUGCCUCUUGCACAAUCUAUCUUCCCUAUUUGGUGUGUACUUGCAAUCUCUAUGCACUCCACAAAAAUUGACAUGCUUAUAUGAUAUAUUUUCAUCAUGACUAGUGCAACCAUCAUUAGUACUAUGGAUAUUCAAGGAGUUCAUACUAACAACAUUGCAAUUGUGCUUAUCAUUCAAAGAUUUAGUGCCAAACAUUUUAAUGCAUUCUUCUUCUAGCAUUUUGGCACAAUUAUCAGAAUCCUUAUUUUCAUGAAAGAUACUAAAAAGAUGAAGCAUAUGAGGUACCCUCAAUUCCAUUUUUUUGUAAUUUUCUUUUAUAGACUAAACUAGUGAUAAAACAAGAAACUAAAAGAUUCGAUUGCAAGAUCUAAAGAUAUACCUUCAAGCGCUAACCUCCCCGGCAAUGGCGCCAGAAAAGAGCUUGAUGUCUACUACGCAACCUUCUUCUUGUAGACGUUGUUGGGCCUCCAAGUGCAAAGGUUUGUAGGACAGUAGCAAAUUUCCCUCAAGUGAAUGACCUAAGGUUUAUCAAUCCGUGGGAGGCGUAGGAUGAAGAUGGUCACUGCCAAACAACCCUGCAACCUAAUAGCAAAGAGUCGGUUGUGUCCCCAACACACCCAAUACAAUGGUAAAUUGUAUAGGUGCACUAGUUCGGCGAAGAGAUGGUGAUACAAGUGUAAUAUGGAUAGUAGAUAUAGGUUUUUGUAAUCUGAAAAUAUAAAAACAGCAAGGUAACUAAUGAUAAAGGUGAGCACAAACGGUAUUGCAAUGCUAGGAAACAAGGCCUAGGGUUCAUACUUUCACUAGUGCAAGUUCUCUCAACAACAAUAACAUAAUUGGAUCAUAUAACUAUCCCUCAACAUGCAACAAAGAGUCACUCCAAAGUCACUAAUAACGGAGAAAAAACAAAGAGAUUAUUGUAGGGUACGAAACCACCUCAAAGUUAUUCUUUCUGAUCGAUCUAUUCAAGAAUACGUAGUAAAAUAACACGAAGCUAUUCUUUCCGUUGAAUCUAUCCUAGAGUCUGUACUAGAAUAACACCUUAAGACACAAAUCAACCAAAACCCUAAUGUCACCUAGAUACUCCAAUGUCACCUCAAGUAUCUGUGGGUAUGAUUAUACGAUAUGCAUCACACAAUCUUAGAUUCAUCUAUUCAACCAACACAAAGAACUUCAAAGAGUGCCCUAAAGUUUCUGCCAGAGAGUCAAGACGAAAACGUGUGCCAACCCCUAUGCAUAAGUUCACGAGGUCACGGAACUCGCAAGUUGAUCACCAAAACAUGCAUCAAGUGGAUCACGUGAUAUCCCAUUGUCACCACAGAUAAGCACAUGCAAGACAUACAUCAAGUGUUCUCAAAUCCUUAAAGACUCAAUCCGAUAAGAUAACUUCAAAGGGAAAACUCAAUCCAUCACAAGAAAGUAGAGGGGGAGAAACAUCAUAAGGUCCAACUAUAAUAGCAAAGCUCGCGAUACAUCAAGAUCGUUCCGAAUCAAGAACACGAGAGAGAGAGUCAAACACAUAGCUACUGGUACAUACCCUCAGCCCCGAGGGUGAACUACUCCCUCCUCGUCAUGGAGAGCGCUGGGAUGAUGAAGAUGGCCACUGGAGAGGGACCCCCCCUCCGGCAGGGUACCAGAACGGGUCUAGAUUGAUUUUCGGUGGCUACAGAGGGUUGCGGUGGCGGAACUCCUGAUCUAGGUUUUUUUCUGGAAGUUUGGGGUUAUAUAAGAGGUGUUGGGGUCGGGAACAAGUCCGGGGGGUCCCCAAGGCGGCCAUGAGGUAGGGGGCCGCCCAGGGGGGUAGGGCGCGCCACCACCCUCUUGGUGGCCUCGGGACACUUCUGGCCCAUCUCCGGUACUCCGUGGGCUUCUUCUGGUCCAAAAAUGAUCUCCGUGAAAUUUCAGGUCAAUUGGACUCCGUUUGGUUUUCCUUUUCUGAGAUACUCGAAAACAAGGAAAAACAGAAACUGGCAUUGGGCUCUAGGUUAAUAGGUUAGUCCAAAAAAUCAUAUAAAAUAGCAUAUAAAUGCAUAUAAAACAUCCUAGAUGGAUAAUAUAGUAGCAUGGAACAAUCAAAAAUUAUAGAUAUGUUGGAGACUUAUCAGGCGCCGCCCCCUUCCCUUAGUCCAAUUCAAACUGCAAGGGGGGCGGCCAGCCCCUUGUGGCCCUCCUCUCUCUCCACUAAGGCCUGAUAACGCACAAGUAUAGGGGAUCAAUUGUAGCCUCUUUCGAUAAGUAAGAGUGUCGGACCCAACGAGGAGCUAAAGGUAGAACAAAUAUUCCCUCAAGUUCUAUUGACCACCGAUACAACUCUAUGCACGCUUGACGUUCGCUUUACCUAGAACAAGUAUGAAACUAGAAGUACUUUGUAGGUGUUUUUGGGUAAGCUUGCAAGAAAGUAAAGAGCACAUAAAUAAAAGCUAGGGGCUGUUUAGAUAAAGUGACAACUAAAUUAGUUUUAGUAAAGAGCUUUUGUCAACAAGAAGGUUAUUUGUCCCUAGGCAAUCGAUAACUAGACCGGUAAUCAUUAUUGCAAUUUUAUUUGAGGGAGAGGCAUAAGCUAACAUACUUUCUCUACUUGGAUCAUAUGCACUUAUGAUUGGAACUCUAGCAAGCAUCCGCAACUACUAAAGAUUCAUUAAGAUAAACCCAACCAUAGCAUUAAAGUAUCAAGUCCCCUUUAUUCCAUACGCAAACAACAUACUUACUCGGGUCUGUGCUUCUGUCACUCACGCCACCCACCAUAAGCAAAUCAUGAACAUAUUGCAAACCCUAUAGCGGGAAUCCCUCAUGCUUGCGCGACACGGAGAGCACCAUAGGACAGCACCAAUAAUAAAACAUACAACUCAAACCAAUCACGAUCAUCAAAUAGCCAUUAGGACAAAACAGAUCUACUCAAACAUCAUAGGAUAGCCAUAAAUCAUUGGGAAAUAAUAUAUAGCAUUGAGCACCAUGUUUAAGUAGAGAUUACAGCGGGUAAGAGAGAGGUUACACCGCUGCAUAGAGGGGGGAAGAGUUGGUGAUGAUGGCGGUGAAGUUGUUGGUGAAGAUGGCGGUGAUGGUGAUGGCCCCGGCAGUGCUCCGACGCCACCGGAAGCAAGGGGGAGAGGGCCCCCCUUAUUCUUCUUCCUUGACCUCCUCCCUAGAUGGGAGAAGGGUUUCCCCUUUGGUCCUUGGCUCCCAUGGCGUGGGAGGGGCGAGAGCCCCUCCGAGAUUGGAUCUAUCUCUCUGUUUCUCUUCGGUUCUGCGUUCUCUUCUGGCUCUGUUUCACCGUUUCGUAUAUAUAUGGAGAUCCGUAACUCCGAUUGGCCUGAAACCUUCGCCGUGAUUUUUUCUGAAUAUUAGCUUUCUUGUGGCAAAAUAAGAGCGUCAACCACCUUACGGUGGGCUCACGAGGGUAGGGGGCGCGCCCCCUGCCUCGUGACCACCUCGGGCACUGAUUCGCAUUGAUUUUCCUUCCAAAUUUUCCAUAUUUUCCAAAAAUAAGCUCCAUCCAUUUUUAUCCCGUUUGGACUCUGUUUGAUAUGGAUAUUCUGCGAAACCAAAAACAUGCAACAGACAGGAACUGGCACUAGGCACUGGAUCAAUAUGUUAGUCCCAAAAAUAGUAUAAAAAGUUGCCAAAAAGUAUAUGGAAGUUGAAUAAUAUUGGCAUGGAACAAUCAAAAAUUAUAGAUACGACGGAGACGUAUCAAGGCCCAUGAAGGCCCAUUAGUUCCCCCGGGGGGUUCUGAUAACCCUCCAGCACUCGGAUAGUUAUCCGGUACCUCUCGGCACUCAUCUGGUGUCCGAAUAACAUCGUCCAAUAUAUCAUUCUUUGUGUCUCGACCAUUUCGAGACUCCUCAUCAUGUCCGUGAUCUUAUACAACACUCCGAACAAACUUCGGUUAUCAAAAACACAUAACUCAUAAUACAAAUCAUCAUCGAACGUUAAGUGUGCGGACCCUACAGGUUCGAGAACUAUGUAGACAAGACCGAGACAAAUCUCCGGUCAAUAAACAAUAGCAGAACCUGGAUGAUCAUAUUGGUUCCUACAUAUUAUAUGAAGUUCUUUAUCAGUCAAACUGCAUAACAACAUACGUCAUUCCCUUUGUCAUCGGUAUGUUACUUGCCCGUGAUUCGAUCGUCGGUAUCAUCAUACCUAGUUCAAUCUCAUUACCGGCAAGUCUCUUUACUCGUUCCUUAAUGCAUCAUCCCGUAACUAGCUCAUUUAUCACAUUGCUUUCAAGGCUCAUAGUGAUGUGCAUUAUCGAGAGGGCCAGAGAUACCUCUCCGAUACACGGAGUGAAAAAUCCUAAUCUCGAUCUAUGCCAACUCAACAAACACCAUUGGAGACACCUGUAGAGCAUCUUUAUGAUCACCCAGUUACGUUGUGACGUUUGAUAGCACUCAAGGUGUUCCUACGGUAUUCGGGAGUUGCAUAAUCUCAUAGUCAGAGGAACAUGUAUAAGUCAUGAAGAAAGCAAUAGCACUAAAACUAAAUGAUCAUUAUGCUAAGCUAACGGAUGGGUCUUGUUCAUCACAUCAUUCUCUAAUGAUGUGAUCCCAUUCAUCAAAUGACAACACAUGUCAAUGGUCAGGAAACUUAACCAUCUUUGAUUAACGAGCUAGUCAAGUAGAGGCAUACUAGGGACACUCUGUUUGUCUAUGUAUUCACACAUGUACUCAGUUUCCGGUUAAUACAAUUCUAGCAUGAAAAAUAAACAUUUAUCAUGAUAUAAGGAAAUAUAAAUAACAACUUUAUUAUUGCCGCUGGGGCAUAUUUCCUUCAGUCUCCCACUUGCACUAGAGUCAAUAAUCUAGAUUACAUAGUAAUGAUUCUAACACCCAUGGAGUCUUGGUGCUGAUCAUGUUUUGCUCGUGAGAGAGGGUUAGUCAACGGGUCUGCAACAUUCAGAUCCGUAUGUAUCUUGCAAAUCUCAUAGUCUCCCUCCUUGACUUGAUCGCGGAUGGAAUUGAAGCAUCUCUUGAUGUGUUUGGUUCUCUUGUGAAAUCUGGAUUCCUUUGCUAAGGCAAUUGCUCCAGUAUUGUCACAAAAUAUUUUCAUUGGACCCGAUGCACUAGGUAUUACACUUAUAUCGGAUAUGAACUCCUUCAUCCAGACUCCUUCCUUUGCAACUUCCAAAGCAGCUAUAUACUCCACUUCACACGUAGAUCCUGCCACAACGCUCUGCUUGGAACUGCACCAACUAACAGCUCCACCAUUCAAUAUAAAUACGUAUCCGGUUUGUGACUUAGAGUCAUCUGGAUCAUUGUCAAAGCUUGCAUCGACGUAACCAUUUACGACGAGCUCUUUGUCACCUCCAUAAACGAGAAACAUAUCCUGAAGGAAAUAUGCCCUAGAGGCAAUAAUAAAGUUAUUAUUUAUUUCCUUAUAUCAUGAUAAAUGUUUAUUAUUCAUGCUAUAAUUGUGUUAACCGGAAACAUAAUACAUGUGUGAAUACAUAGACAAACAGAGUGUCACUAGUAUGCCUCUACUUGACUAGCUCGUUGAUCAAAGAUGGUUAUGUUUCCUAACCAUAGACAUGAGUUGUCAUUUGAUUAACGGGAUCACAUCAUUAGGAGAAUGAUGUGAUUGACUUGACCCAUUCCAUUAGCAUAGCACUUGAUCGUUUAGUUUGUUGCUAUUGCUUUCUUCAUGACUUAUACAUGUUCCUAUGACUAUGAGAUUAUGCAACUCCCGUUUACCGAAGGAACACUUUGUGUGCCACCAAACGUCACAACAUAACUGGGUGAUUAUAAAGGUGCUCUACAGGUGUCUCCGAAGGUACUUGUUGGGUUGGCGUAUUUUGAGAUUAGGAUUUGUCACUCUGAUUGUCGGAGAGGUAUCUCUGGGCCCUCUCCGUAAUGCACAUCACUUAAGCCUUGCAAGCCUUGCAACUAAUGAGUUAGUUGCAGGAUGAUGUAUUACGGAACGAGUAAAGAGACUUGAUGGUAACGAGAUUGAACUAGGUAUUGAGAUACCGACGUUCGAAUCUCGGGAAAGUAACAUACCGGUGACAAAGGGAACAACGUAUGUUGUUAUGCGGUCUGACCGAUAAAGAUAUUUGUAGAAUAUGUGGGAGCCAAUAUGAGCAUCCAGGUUCCGCUAUUGGUUAUUGACCGGAGAUGUGUCUCGGUCAUGUCUACAUUGUUCUCAAACCCGUAGGGUCCGCACGCUUAAGGUUUCGAUGACAGUUAUAUUACUCCCUCCGUUCCUUGAUAUAAGGUGUAUAGAUUUUUUAGAAAAAGUUCGAAAUAUAAGGUGUAUUGCGUUGCACCACUCGUUUGAAUAAUUUUUUUAGGGAUUUGAUUACGUUUACAUAUAUUAGGCAAACUCCUCUAUUUUCUCAUGUCAAUUAGUUAGGUGUAAUCUCGCCCAAAACUUGUGAAAUUUUCACUCCACGUGUGUUCUUUAAUUUUCGUGCCAAAAACUAUACACCUUAUAUUUAGGAAUGGAGGGAGUAUGAGUUUAUGAGUUUUGAUGUACUGAAGGAGUUCGGAGUCCCGGAUGAGAUCGGGGACAUGACGAGGAGUCUCGAAAUGGUCGAGACGUAAAGAUCGAUAUAUUGGACGGCUAUAUUUGGACACCAGAAGUGUUUCGGGUGAUUUCGGAGAAAAUCGGAGUGCCGGAAGGGUUACCGGAACCCCCCCGGGGAAGUAUUGGGCCUUAGUGGGCCUGAGGGGAGAGAGAGGGUGGCAGCCCAGGAGGUGGUGCGCCCCCUCCCAUGGGGAGUCCGAAUUGGACUAGGGGAGGGGGCGCGGCCCCUCUUUCCCCCUCUCUCUCCCUCUCUUUCCUCCCCCCUUCUCUCUUCCUAGUUGGACUAGGAAAGGGGAGUCCUACUCCUACUAAGAGGAGGACUCCCCCCUCCUUGGCGCGCCCCAAGGGCCGGCCAGCCUCUCCCCCUUGCUCCUUUAUAUACAGGGGCAGGGGGGCACCUCUAGAGACACAAGUUGAUCUUCGUGAUCGUUCUCUUAGCCGUGUGCGGUGCCCCCCUCCACCAUAAUCCUCGAUAAUAUUGUAGCGGUGCUUAGGCGAAGCCCUGUGACGGUAGAACAUCAAGAUCGUCACUACGUCGUCGUGCUGACGGAACUCUUCCCCGACACUUUGCUAGAUCGGAGUCCGGGGAUCGUCAUCGAGCUGAACGUGUGCUAGAACUCGGAGGUGUCGUAGUUUCGGUGCUUGAUCGGUCAGGCCGUGAAGACGUACGACUACAUCAACCGCGUUGUGCUAACGCUUCCGCUUUUGGUCUACGAGGGUACGUGGACAACACUCUUCCCUCUCGUUGCUAUGCACCACCAUGAUCUUGCGUGUGCGUAGGAAUUUUUUUGAAAUUACUACGUUCCCCAACAGUGGCAUCCGAGCCUAGGUUUUAUGCGUUGAUGUUGUGCACGAGUAGAACACAAGUGAGUUGUGGGCGAUAUAAGUCAUACUGCUUACCAGCAUGUCAUACUUUGGUUCGGCGGUAUUGUUGGAUGAAGCGGCCCGGACAGACAUUACGCGUACGCUUACGCGAGACUGGUUCUGCCGACGUGCUUUGCACACAGGUGGCUGGCGGGUGUCAGUUUCUCCAACUUUAGUUGAACCAAGUGUGGCUACGCCCGGUCCUUGCGAAGGUUAAAACAUCACCAACUUGACAAACUAUCGUUGUGGUUUUGAUGCGUAGGUAAGAACGGUUCUUGCUAAAUCCCGUAGCAGCCACGUAAAACUUGCAACAACAAAGUAGAGGACGUCUAACUUGUUUUUGCGGGGCAUGUUGUGAUGUGAUAUGGUCAAGACAUGAUGCUAAAUUUUAUUGUAUGAGAUGAUCAUGUUUUGUAACCGAGUUAUCGGCAACUGGCAGGAGCCAUAUGGUUGUCACUUUAUUGUAUGCAAUGCAAUCGCGCUGUAAUGCUUUACUUUAUCACUAAGCGGUAGCGAUAAUCGUGGAAGCAUAAGAUUGGCGAGACGACAAUGAUGCUAUGAUGGAGAUCAAGGUGUCACGCCGGUGACGAUGGUGAUCAUGACGGUACUUCGGAGAUGGAGAUCACAAGUACAAGAUGAUGGGCCAUAUCAUAUCACUUAUAUUGAUUGCAUGUGAUGUUUAUCUUUUAUGCAUCUUAUCUUGCUUUGAUUGACAGUAGCAUUAUAAGAUGAUCCCUCACUAAAUUAUCAAAGUAUAAGUGUUCUCCUAGAGUAUGCACCGUUGCGAAAGUUCUUCGUGCUGAGACACCACGUGAUGAUCGGGUGUGAUAGGCUCUACGUUCAAAUACAACGGGUGCAAAAUAGUUGCACACGCGGAAUACUCAGGUUAAACUUGACGAGCCUAGCAUAUAACAUAUAUGGCCUCGGAACACGGAGACCGAAAGGUCGAACGUGAAUCAUAUAGUAGAUAUGAUCAACAUAGUGAUGUUCACCAUUGAAACUACUCCAUCUCACGUGAUGAUCGGACAUGGUUUAGUUGAUAUGGAUCACGUGAUCACUUAGAGGGGCAAGGGGGAGAGGGCCCCCCUUAUUCUUCUUCCUUGACCUCCUCCCUAGAUGGGAGAAGGGUUUCCCCUCUGGUCCUUGGCUCCCAUGGCGUGGGAGGGGCGAGAGCCCCUCCGAGAUUGGAUCUAUCUCUCUGUUUCUCUCUGGUUCUGUGUUCUCUUCUGGCUCUGUUUCACCGUUUCGUAUAUAUAUGGAGAUCCGUAACUCCGAUUGGCCUGAAACCUUCGCCGUGAUUUUUUCCAAAUAUUAGCUUUCUUGUGGCAAAAUAAGAGUGUCAACCGCCUUACGGUGGGCUCACGAGGGUAGGGGGCGCGCCCCUGCCUCGUGACCACCUCGGGCACUGGUUCGCAUUGAUUUUCCUUCCAAAUUUUCCAUAUUUUCCAAAAAUAAGCUCCAUCCAUUUUUAUCCCGUUUGGACUCUGUUUGAUAUGGAUAUUCUACGAAACCAAAAACAUGCAACAGACAGGAACUGGCACUGGGCACUGGAUCAAUAUGUUAGUCCCAAAAAUAGUAUAAAAAGUUGCCAAAAAGUAUAUGGAAGUUGAAUAAUAUUGGCAUGGAACAAUCAAAAAUUAUAGAUACGACGGAGACGUAUCAAGGCCCAUGAAGGCCCAUUAGUUCCCCCGGGGGGUUCUGAUAACCCUCCAGCACUCCGAUAGUUAUCCGGUACCUCUCGGCACUCAUCUGGUGUCCGAAUAACAUCGUCCAAUAUAUCAUUCUUUAUGUCUCGACCAUUUGGAGACUCCUCAUCAUGUCCGUGAUCUUAUACAGCACUCCGAACAAACUUCGGUUAUCAAAAACACAUAACUCAUAAUACAAAUCGUCAUCGAACGUUAAGCGUGCGGACCCUACAGGUUCGAGAACUAUGUAGACAAGACCGAGACAAAUCUCCAGUCAAUAAACAAUAGCAGAACCUGGAUGAUCAUAUUGGUUCCUACAUAUUAUAUGAAGUUCUUUAUCAGUCAAACUGCAUAACAACAUACAUCAUUCCCUUUGUCAUCGGUAUGUUACUUGCCCGAGAUUCGAUCGUCGGUAUCAUCAUACCUAGUUCAAUCUCAUUACCGGCAAGUCUCUUUACUCGUUCCUUAAUGCAUCAUCCCGUAACUAGCUCAUUUAUCACAUUGCUUUCAAGGCUCAUAGUGAUGUGCAUUAUCGAGAGGGCCCAGAGAUACCUCUCCGAUACACGGAGUGAAAAAUCCUAAUCUCGAUCUAUGCCAACUCAACAAACACCAUUGGAGACACCUGUAGAGCAUCUUUAUGAUCACCCAGUUACGUUGUGACAUUUGAUAGCACUCAAGGUGUUCCUACGGUAUUCGGGAGUUGCAUAAUCUCAUAGUCAGAGGAACAUGUAUAAGUCAUGAAGAAAGCAAUAGCACUAAAACUAAACGAUCAUUAUGCUAAGCUAACGGAUGGGUCUUGUCCAUCACAUCAUUCUCUAAUGAUGUGAUCCCAUUCAUCAAAUGACAACACAUGUCAAUGGUCAGGAAACUUAACCAUCUUUGAUUAACGAGCUAGUCAAGUAGAGGCAUACUAGGGACACUCUGUUUGUCUAUGUAUUCACACAUGUACUAAGUUUCCGGUUAAUACAAUUCUAGCAUGAAAAAUAAACAUUUAUCAUGAUAUAAGGAAAUAUAAAUAACAACUUUAUUAUUUCUGCUAGGGCAUAUUUCCUUCAGUCUCCCACUUGCACUAGAGUCACUAAUCUAGAUUACAUAGUAAUGAUUCUAACACCCAUGGAGUCUUGGUGCUGAUCAUGUUUUGCUCGUGAGAGAGGGUUAGUCAACGGGUCUGCAACAUUCAGAUCCGUAUGUAUCUUGCAAAUCUCAUAGUCUCCCUCCUUGACUUGAUCGCGGAUGGAAUUGAAGCGUCUCUUGAUGUGUUUGGUUCUCUUGUGAAAUCUGGAUUCCUUUGCUAAGGCAAUUGCUCCAGUAUUGUCACAAAAUAUUUUUGGACCCGAUGCACUAGGUAUUACACUUAUAUCGGAUAUGAACUCCUUCAUCCAGACUCCUUCAUUUGCAACUUCCAAAGCAGCUAUAUACUCCACUUCACACGUAGAUCCUGCCCCAACGCUCUUCUUGGAACUGCACCAACUAACAGCUCCACCAUUCAAUAUAAAUACGUAUCCGGUUUGUGACUUAGAGUCAUCUGGAUCAUUGUCAAAGCUUGCAUCGACGUAACCAUUUACGACGAGCUCUUUGUCACCUCCAUAAACGAGAAACAUAUCCUGAAGGAAAUAUGCCCUAGAGGCAAUAAUAAAGUUAUUAUUUAUUUCCUUAUAUCAUGAUAAAUGUUUAUUAUUCAUGCUAUAAUUGUAUUAACCGGAAACAUAUUACAUGUGUGAAUACAUAAAAAAACAGAGUGUCACUAGUAUGCCUCUACUUGACUAGCUCGUUGAUCAAAGAUGGUUAUGUUUCCUAACCAUAGACAUGAGUUGUCAUUUGAUUAACGGGAUCACAUCAUUAGGAGAAUGAUGUGAUUGACUUGACCCAUUCCAUAAGCAUAGCACUUGAUCGUUUAGUUUGUUGCUAUUGCUUUCUUCAUGACUUAUACAUGUUCCUAUGACUAUGAGAUUAUGCAACUCCCGUUUACCGAAGGAACACUUUGUGUGCCACCAAACGUCACAACAUAACUGGGUGAUUAUAAAGGUGCUCUACAGGUGUCUCCGAAGGUACUUGUUGGGUUGGCGUAUUUCGAGAUUAGGAUUUGUCACUCUGAUUGUCGGAGAGGUAUCUCUGGGCCCUCUCAGUAAUGCACAUCACUUAAGCCUUGCAAGCCUUGCAACUAAUGAGUUAGUUGCAGGAUGAUGUAUUACGGAACGAGUAAAGAGACUUGAUGGUAACGAGAUUGAACUAGGUAUUGAGAUACCGACGUUCGAAUCUCGGGAAAGUAACAUACCGGUGACAAAGGGAACAACGUAUGUUGUUAUGCGGUCUGACCGAUAAAGAUAUUCGUAGAAUAUGUGGGAGCCAAUAUGAGCAUCCAGGUUCCGCUAUUGGUUAUUAACCGGAGAUGUGUCUCGGUCAUGUCUACAUUGUUCUCAAACCCGUAGGGUCCGCACGCUUAAGGUUUCGAUGACAGUUAUAUUACUCCCUCCGUUCCUUGAUAUAAGGUGUAUAGAUUUUUUAGAAAAAGUUCGAAAUAUAAGGUGUAUUGCGUUGCACCACUCGUUUGAAUAAUUUUUUUAGGGAUUUGAUUACGUUUACAUAUAUUAGGAAAACUCCUCUAUUUUCUCAUGUCAAUUAGUCAGGUGUAAUCUCGCCCAAAACUUGUGAAAUUUUCACUCCACGUGUGUUCUUUAAUUUUCGUGCCAAAAACUAUACACCUUAUAUUUAGGAAUGGAGGGAGUAUGAGUUUAUGAGUUUUGAUGUACCGAAGGAGUUCGGAGUCCCGGAUGAGAUCGGGGACAUGACGAGGAGUCUCGAAAUGGUCGAGACGUAAAGAUCGAUAUAUUGGACGGCUAUAUUUGGACACCAGAAGUGUUUCGGGUGAUUUCGGAGAAAAUCGGAGUGCCGGAAGGGUUACCGGAACCCCCCGGGGAAGUAUUGGGCCUUAGUGGGCCUGAGGGGAGAGAGAGGGUGGUAGCCCAGGAGGUGGUGCGCCCCCUCCCAUGGGGAGUCCGAAUUGGACUAGGGGAGGGGGCGCGGCCCCUCUUUCCCUCUCCCUCUCCCUCUCUUUCCUUCCCCCUUCUCUCUUCCUAGUUGGACUAGGAAAGGGGAGUUCUACUCCUACUAAGAGGAGGACUCCCCCCUCCUUGGCGCGCCCCAAGGGCCGGCCAGCCUCUCCCCCUUGCUCCUUUAUAUACAGGGGCAGGGGGGCACCUCUAGAGACACAAGUUGAUCUUCGUGAUCGUUCUCUUAGCCGUGUGCGGUGCCCCCCUCCACCAUAAUCCUCGAUAAUAUUGUAGUGGUGCUUAGGCGAAGCCCUGCGACGGUAGAACAUCAAGAUCGUCACUACGUCGUCGUGCUGACGGAACUCUUCCCCGACACUUUGCUAGAUCGGAGUCCGGGGAUCGUCAUCGAGCUGAACGUGUGCUAGAACUCGGAGGUGUCGUAGUUUCGGUGCUUGAUCGGUCAGGCCGUGAAGACGUACGACUACAUCAACCGCGUUGUGCUAACGCUUCCGCUUUUGGUCUACGAGGGUACGUGGACAACACUCUUCCCUCUCGUUGCUAUGCACCACCAUGAUCUUGCAUGUGCGUAGGAAUUUUUUUGAAAUUACUACGUUCCCCGACAGUGGCAUCCGAGCCUAGGUUUUAUGCGUUGAUGUUGUGCACGAGUAGAACACAAGUGAGUUGUGGGCGAUAUAAGUCAUACUGCUUACCAGCAUGUCAUACUUUGGUUCGGCGGUAUUGUUGGAUGAAGCGGCCCGGACAGACAUUACGCGUACGCUUACGCGAGACUGGUUCUGCCGACGUGCUUUGCACACAGGUGGCUGGCGGGUGUCAGUUUCUCCAACUUUAGUUGAACCAAGUGUGGCUACGCCCGGUCCUUGCGAAGGUUAAAACAGCACCAACUUGACAAACUAUCGUUGUGGUUUUGAUGCGUAGGUAAGAACGGUUCUUGCUAAAUCCCGUAGCAGCCACGUAAAACUUGCAACAGCAAAGUACAGGACGUCUAACUUGUUUUUGCGGGGCAUGUUGUGAUGUGAUAUGGUCAAGACAUGAUGCUAAAUUUUAUUGUAUGAGAUGGUCAUGUUUUGUAACUGAGUUAUCGGCAACUGGCAGGAGCCAUAUGGUUGUCACUUUAUUGUAUGCAAUGCAAUCGCGCUGUAAUGCUUUACUUUAUCACUAAGCGGGUAGCGAUAAUCGUGGAAGCAUAAGAUUGGCGAGACGACAAUGAUGCUAUGAUGGAGAUCAAGGUGUCACGCCGGUGACGAUGGUGAUCAUGACGGUACUUCGGAGAUGGAGAUCACAAGUACAAGAUGAUGAUGGCCAUAUCAUAUCACUUAUAUUGAUUGCAUGUGAUGUUUAUCUUUUAUGCAUCUUAUUUGCUUUGAUUGACGGUAGCAUUAUAAGAUGAUCCCUCACUAAAUUAUCAAAGUAUAAGUGUUCUCCCAGAGUAUGCACCGUUGCGAAAGUUCUUCGUGCUGAGACACCACGUGAUGAUCGGGUGUGAUAGGCUCUACGUUCAAAUACAACAGUUGCAAAAUAGUUGCACACGCGGAAUACUCAGGUUAAACUUGACGAGCCUAGCAUAUAACAGAUAUGGCCUCGGAACACGGAGACCGAAAGGUCGAACGUGAAUCAUAUAGUAGAUAUGAUCAACAUAGUGAUGUUCACCAUUGAAACUACUCCAUCUCACGUGAUGAUCGGACAUGGUUUAGUUGAUAUGGAUCACGUGAUCACCAUUGAAACUACCCCCCCCCUUGAUCCUUUAUAUACGGGGGCAGGGGGCACCCCUAGACACACAAGUUGAUCCACGUGAUUAUAUUCUUAGCCGUGUGCGGUGCCCCCUUCCACCAUAAUCCUCGAUAAUAUUGUAGCGGUGCUUAGGCGAAGCCCUGCGACGGUAGUACAUCAAGAUCGUCACCACGCCGUCGUGCUGACGGAACUCUUCCCCGACAUUUUGCUGGAUCGGAGUCCGGGGAUCGUCAUCGAGCUAAACGUGUGCUAGUACUCGGAGGUGUCGUAGUUUCGGUGCUUGAUCGGUCGGGCCGUGAAGACGUACGACUACAUCAACCGCGUUGUGCUAACGCUUCCGCUGUCGGUCUACAAGGGUACGUAGAUCACACUCUCCCCUCUCGUUGCUAUGCAUCACCAUGAUCUUGCGUGUGCGUAGGAAUUUUUUUGAAAUUACUACGUUCCCCAACAGUGGCAUCCGAGCCUAGGUUUUCUGUGUUGAUGCUAUAUGCACGAGUAGAACACAAGUAAGUUGUGGGCGAUAUAAGUCAUACUACUUACCAGCAUGUCAUACUUUGGUUCGGCGGUUUUGUUGGACGAAGCGGCCCGGACCGACAUUACGCAUACGCUUAUGUGAGACUGGUUCUCCCGACGUGCUUUGCACAUAGGUGGCUUGCGGGUGACAGUUUCUCCAACUUUAGUUGAACCGAGUGUGGCUACGCCCGGUCCUUGCGAAGGUUAAAACAUCACCAACUUGACAAACUAUCGUUGUGGUUUUGAUGCGUAGGUAAGAUUGGUCCUUGCUUAAGCCCGUAGCAGCCACGUAAAACUUACAACAACAAAGUAGAGGAUGUCUAACUUGUUUUUGCAGGGCAUGUUGUGAUGUGAUAUGGUCAAGACAUGAUGCUAAAUUUUAUUGUAUGAGAUGAUCAUGUUUUGUAACCGAGUUAUCGGCAACUGGCAGGAGGCAUAUGGUUGUCGCUUUAUUGUAUGCAAUGCAAUCGCGCUGUAAUGCUUUACUUUAUCACUAAGCGGUAGCGAUAGUCGUGGAAGCAUAAGAUUGGCGAGACGACAACGAUGCUACGAUGGAGAUCAAGGUGUCGCGCCGGUGAUGAUGGUGAUCACGACGGUGCUUCGAAGAUGGAGAUCACAAGCACAAGAUGAUGAUGGCCAUAUCAUAUCAUUUAUAAUGAUUGCAUGUGAUGUUUAUCUUUUAUGCAUCUUAUCUUGCUUUGAUUGAUGGUAGCAUUAUAAGAUGAUCUCUCACUAAUUAUCAAGAAGUGUUCUCCCUGAGUAUGCACCGUUGCGAAAGUUCUUUGUGCUGAGACACCACAUGAUGAUCGGGUAUGAUAGGCUCUACGUUCAAAUACAACGGGUGCAAAACAGUUGCACACGCGGAAUACUCAGGUUAAACUUGACGAGCCUAGCAUAUACAAAUAUGGCCUCGGAACACGGAGACCGAAAGGUCGAACGUGAAUCAUAUAGUAGAUAUGAUCAACAUAGUGAUGUUCACCAUUGAAACUACUCCAUCUCACGUGUUGAUCGAACAUGGUUUAGUUGAUUUGGAUCACGUGAUCACUUAGAGGAUUAGUGGGAUGUCUAUCUAAGUGGCAGUUCUUAAGUAAUAUGAUUAAUUGAACUUUAAUUUAUCAUGAACUUAGUCCUGGUAGUAUUAGCAUAUCUAUGUUGUAGAUCAAUAGCUCGCGUUUAGCUCCCCUGUUUUAUUUUUGAUAUGUUCGUAGAGAAAACUAAGUUGAAAGAUGUUAGUAGCAAUGAUGCGAAUUGGAUCUGUGAUCUGAGGUUUAUCCUCAUUGCUGCACAGAAGAAUUAUGUCUUUGAUGCACCGCUAGGUGACAAACCUAUUGCAGGAGCAGAUGCAGAUGUUAUGAACAUUUGGCUAGCUCAAUAUGAUGACUACUUGAUAGUUUAGUGCACCAUGCUUAAACGGCUUAGAAUCGGGACUUCAAAGACGUUUUGAACGUCAUGAACCAUAUGAGAUGUUCCAGGAGUUGAAGUUAAUAUUUCAAGCAAAUACCCGAGUUGAUAGAUAUGAAGUCUCCAACAAGUUCUAUAGCUAAAAGAUGGAGGAUAAUAGCUCAAGCAGUGAGCAUGUGCUCAGAUUGUCUGGGUACUACAAUCGGUUGAAUCAAGUGGGUGUUAAUCUUCCAGAUAAAAUAGUGAUUGACAAAAUUCUCUAGUCACCAUCACCAAGUUAGUAGAAUUCGUGAUGAACUAUGAUAUGCAAGGGAUAACGGAAACGAUUCCCAAGCUCUUCGUAAUGCUGAAAUCGACGAAGGUAGAAAUCAAGAAAAAUAUCAAGUGUUGAUGGUAGACAAGACCACUAGUUUCAAGAAAAGGGCAAAGGGAAGAAGGGGAACUUCAAGAAGAAUGGCAAGCAAGUUGCUGCUCAAGUGAAGAAGCCCAAGUCUGGUCCUAAGCCUGAGACUAAGUGCUUCUACUGCAAAGGGACUGGUCACUGGAAGCGGAACUGCCCCAAGUAUUUGGCGGAUAAGAAGGAUGGCAAAGUGAACAAAGGUAUAUUUGAUAUACAGAUUAUUGAUGUGUAUUUUACUAGUGUUCAUAGCAACCCCUCGGUAUUUGAUACUGGUUCAGUUGCUAAGAGUAGUAACUCGAAACGGGAGUUGCAUAAUGAACAUAGACUAGUUAAGGGUGAAGUGACGAUGUGUGUUGGAAGUGGUUCCAAGAUUGAUAUGAUCAUCAUCGCACACUCCCUAUACUUUGGGAUUAGUGUUGAACCUAAAUAAGUGUUAUUUGGUGUUUGCAUUGAGCAUGAAUAUGAUUUGAUCAUGUUUAUUGCAAUAUGGUUAUUCAUUUAAGUAAGAGAAUAAAUUGUUGUUCUGUUUACAUGAAUAAAACCUUAUAUGGUUACACACCCAAUGAAAAUGGUUCGUUGGAUCUCAAUCGUAGUGAUACACAUAUUCAUAAUAUUGAAACCAAAAGAUGCAAAGUUAAUAAUGAUGGUGAAAUUUAUUUGUGGCACUGCCAUUUAGGUCAUAUUUGUGUAAAGCGCAUGAAGAAAAUCCAUGCUGAUGGUCUUUUGGAAUCACUUGAUUAUGAAUCAGUUGAUGCUUGCGAACCAUGCCUCAUGGGCAAGAUGACUAAGACUCCGUUCUCCAGAACAAUGGAGCGAGCAAAAGAUUUGUUGGAAAUCAUACAUACUGAUGUAUGUAGUCCGAUGAAUAUUGAGGCUCGUGGAAGGUAUCAUUAUUUUCUGAUCUUCACAGAUGAUUUGAGCAGAUAUGAGUAUAUCUACUUGAUGAAACACAAGUCUGAAACAUUUGAAAAGUUCAAAGAAUUUCAGAGUGAAGUGGAGAAUCAUCGUAACAAAAAUGAAAGUUUCUACGAUAUGAUCGCAAAAGUAAAAUAUUUGAGUUACGAGUUUGGCCUUUAGUUAAAAACAAUGUGAAAUAGUUUCACUACUCACGCCACCUGGAACACCACAGCAUAAUGGUGUGUUCGAACGUCAUAACCGUACUUUAUUAGAUAUGGUGCGAUCUAUGAUGUCUCUUACCGAUCUACCACUAUCGUUUUGGGGUUAUGCAUUAGAGACAGCUGCAUUCACGUUAAAUAGGGCACCAUCUAAAUCCGUUGAGACGACACCGUAUGAACUAUGGUUUGGCAAGAAACCUAAGCUGUCGUUUCUUAAAGUUUGAGGUUGCAAUGCUUAUGUGAAAAAGUUUCAACCUGAUAAGCUCUAACCCAAAUCGGAGAAGUGCUUCUUCAUAGGAUACCCAAAAGAAAAUGUUGGGUACACCUUCUAUCACAGAUCCGAAGGCAAUAUAUUCAUUGCUUUGAAUGGAUCCUUUCUAGAAAAGGAGUUUCUCUCAAAAGAAGUGAGUGGGAGGAAAGUAGAACUUGAUGAGGUAACUGUACCUGCUCCCUUAUUGGAAAGUAGUUCAUCACAGAAAUCUGUUCCUGUGACUACUACACCGAUUAGUAAGGAAGCUAAUGAUGAUGAUCAUGUAACUUCAGAUCAAGUUACUACCGAACCUCGUAGGUAAACCAAAGUGAGAUCCGCACCAGAGUGUUACAGUAAUCCUGUUCUGGAGGUCAUGUUACUUGACCAUGACGAGCCUACGAACUAUGAGGAAGCGAUGAUGAGCCCAGAUUCGGUGAAAUGGCUUGAGGCCAUGAAAUCUGAGAUGAGAUCCAUGUAUGAGAACAAAGUAUAGACUUUGAUUGACUUGCCCAAUGAUCGGCGAGCCAUUGAGAUUAAAUGGAUCUUCAAGAGAAAUACGGACGCUGAUAGUAGUGUUACUAUCUACAAAGCUAGAAUUGUCGCAAAAAGGUUUUUGACAAGUUCAAGGUGUUGACUAUGAUGAGAGUUUCUCACUCGUACCUAUGCUUAAGUCUGUCCGAAUCAUGUUAGCAAUUGCCGCAUUUUAUGAAAUCUGGCAAAUGGAUAAACAAAACUGCAUUCCUUAAUGGAUUUAUUAAAGAAGAGUUGUAUAUGAUGCAACAAGAAGGUUUUGUCAAUCCUAAAGGUACUAACAAAAUAUGCAAGCUCCAACGAUCCAUCUAUGGACUGGUGCAAGCAUCUCGGAGUUGGAAUAUACGCUUUGAUAAGUUGAUCAAAGCAUAUAAUUUUAUACAGACUUGCGGUGAAGCCUGUAUUUACAAGAAAGUGAGUGGGAGCACUACAUCAUUUCUGAUAAGUAUAUGUGAAAGACAUAUUGUUGAUUGGAGAUGAUGUAGAAUUAUUUGCAAAGCAUAAAGGAAUGUUUCAAAGGAGUUUUUCAAAGAAAGACCUCGGUGAAGCUGCUUACAUAUUGAGCAUCAAGAUCUAUAGAGAUAGAUCAAGACGCUUGAUAAGUUUUUCAAUGAGUACAUACCUUGACAAGAUUUUGAAGUAGUUCAAAAUGGAACAAUCAAAGAAGGAGUUCUUGCCUGUGUUACAAAGGUGUGAAGUUGAGUAAGACUCAAAACCCGACCACGGCAGAAGAUAGAGAGAGAAUGAAAGUCAUUCCCUAUGCCUCAGCCAUAGGUUCUAUAAAGUAUGCCAUCCUGUGUACCAGACCUAUUGUAUACCCUGCCCUGAGUUUGGCAAGGGAGUACAAUAGUGAUCUAGGAGUAGAUCACUGGACAUUGGUCAAAAUUAUCCUUAGUGGAAUAAGGAUAUGUUUCUCGAUUAUGGAGGUGACAAAAGGUUCGUCGUAAAGGGUUGCGUCGAUGCAAGUUUUGACACUGAUCCAGAUGACUCUAAGUCUCAAUCUAGAUACAUAUUGAAAGUGGGAGCAAUUAGCUAGAGUAGCUCCAUGCAGAGCAUUGUUGACAUAGAAAUUUGCAAAAUACUUACGGAUCUGAAUGUGGCAGACCCGUUGACUAAACUUCUCUCACAAGCAAAACAAGAUCACACCCUAGUAGUCUUUGGGUGUUAAUCACAUAGCGAUGUGAACUAGAUUAUUGACUCUAGUAAACCCUUUGGGUGUUGGUCACAUAUCGAUGAGAACUAUGGGUGUUAAUCACAUGGUGAUGUGAACUAUUGAUGUUAAAUCACAUGGCGACGUGAACUAGAUUAUUGACUCUAGUGCAAGUGGGAGACUGAAAGAAAUAUGCCCUAGAGGCAAUAAUAAAGUUAUUAUUUAUUUCCUUAUAUCAUGAUAAAUGUUUAUUAUUCAUGCUAGAAUUGUAUUAACCAGAAACAUAAUACAUGUGUGAAUACAUAGACAAACAGAGUGUCACUAGUAUGCCUCUACUUGACUAGCUCGUUGAUCAAAGAUGGUUAUGUUUCCUAACCAUAGACAUGAGUUGUCAUUUGAUUAACGGGAUCACAUCAUUAGGAGAAUGAUGUGAUUGACAUGACCCAUUCCGUUAGCAUAACACUUGAUCGUUUAGUUUGUUGCUAUUGCUUUCUUCAUGACUUAUACAUGUUCCUAUGACUAUGAGAUUAUGCAACUCCCGUUUACCGGAGGAACACUUUGUGUGCCACCAAACGUCACAACGUAACUGGGUGAUUAUAAAGGUGCUCUAUAGGUGUCUCCGAAGGUACUUGUUGGGUUGGCGUAUUUCGAGAUUAGGAUUUGUCACUCCGAUUGUCGGAGAGGUAUCUCUGGGCCCUCUCGGUAAUGCACAUCACUUAAGCCUUGCAAGCAUUGCAACUAAUGAGUUAGUUGUAGGAUGAUGUAUUACGGAACGAGUAAAGAGACUUGCCGGUAACGAGAUUGAACUAGGUAUUGAGAUACCGACGAUCGAAUCUUGGGAAAGUAACAUACCGAUGACAAAGGGAACAACAUAUGUUGUUAUGCGGUCUGACCAAUAAAGAUCUUCGUAGAAUAUGUGGGAGCCAAUAUGAGCAUCCAGGUUCCGCUAUUGGUUAUUGACCGGAGACGUGUCUCGGUCAUGUCUACAUUGUUCUCGAACCCGUAGGGUCCGCACGCUUAAGGUUUCGAUGAUAGUUAUAUUAUGAGUUUAUGAGUUUUGAUGUACCGAAGGAGUUCGGAGUCCCAGGUGAGAUCGGGGACAUGACGAGGAGUCUCAGAAUGGUCGAGACGUAAAGAUCGAUAUAUUGGACGGCUAUAUUCGGACACCGGAAGUGUUUCUGGUGAUUUCGGAGAAAACCGGAGUGCCGGAAGGGUUACCAGAACCCCCCGGGGAAGUAUUGGGCCUUAGUGGGCCUGAGGGGAGAGAGAGAGCAGCAGCCCAGGAGGUAGCGCGCCCCCUCCCAUGGGGAGUCCGAAUUGGACUAGGGGAGGGGGGCGCGGCCCCUCUUUCCCUCUCCCUCUCCCUCUCUUUCCUUCCCCCUUCUCUCUUCCUAGUUGGACUAGGAAAGGGGAGUCCUACUCCUACUAGGAGGAGGACUCCCCCCUCCGUGCCGCACCCCAAGGGCCGGCCGGCCUCUCCCCCUUGCUCCUUUGUAUACAGGGGCAGGGGGGCACCUCUGGAGACACAAGUUGAUCUUCGUGAUCGUUCUCUUAGCCGUGUGCGGUGCCCCCCUCUACCAUAAUCCUCGAUAAUAUUGUAGCGGUGCUUAGGCGAAGCCUUGCGACGGUAGAACAUCAAGAUCGUCACCACGCCGUCGUGCUGAUGGAACUCUUCCCCGACACUUUGCUAGAUCGGAGUCCGGGGAUCGUCAUCGAGCUGAACGUGUGCUAGAACUCCGAGGUGCCGUAGUUUCGGUGCUUGAUCGGUCGGGCCGUGAAGACGUACGACUAGAUCAACCGCGUAGUGCUAACGCUUCUGCUUUCGGUCUACGAGGGUACGUGGACAACACUCUUCCCUCUCGUUGCUAUGCAUCACCAUGAUAUUGCGUGUGCAUAGGAAUUUUUUUGAAAUUACUACGUUCCCCAACAUAUCCUUAGUCCUUUUCAGGUAUUUCAGGAUUUUCUUGACCACUAUCCAAUGAUCCACUCCUGGAUUACUUUGGUACCUCCCUACUAAACUUGUAGCAAGGCACACAUCAGGUCUGGUACACAGCAUUGCAUACAUGAUAGAACCUAUGGCUGAGGCAUAGGGGAUGACUUUCAUUUUCUCUCUAUCUUCUGUAGUGGUCAGAGUAACACAGGCAAGAACCCUUUCUUUGACUGAUCCAUUUUGAACUUCUUCAAAACUUUAUCAAGGUAUGUGCUUUCUGAAAGUCCAGUUAAGCGUCUUAAUCUAUCUUUAUAGAUUUUGAUGCCCAAUAUAUAAGCAGCUUCACCGAGGUCUUUCAUUGAAAAAUUCUUAUUCAAGUAUCCUUUUUUGCUAUCCAGAAAUUCCGUUUUAUUUCAAAUUAACAAUAUGUCAUCCACAUAUAAUAUUAGAAAUGCGGUUCGCGAGUCGCCGACGACACCGUAGCCCGAAGGGGCGACGCAACGGCGGUUCGCGAGUCGGUGCGGCCUUAGGACGACGGCGUGGACCGCGUGCCACGCUCGCUACUGCCGGAUGGGCCGACACAGCGGAGGCGCAAGGGUCGGUGCAGCCACGGGACGACCUGGAGCGGACGGCCUCGGGGCGGCGAGGGAUCGCGGGUCGCGACACUACGGCCAGAAGGGCCGAUGCAAUGGUGACGCGGGUCGGUGCAGCUAGGAAAAGAACCACGGGGCGGCGGCGCUGCGGCCCGACUGGGCGACGCAACGGCAAUCCAUUGCUCGAUCAGUGGAGGGGCGCGCUAAACUCGGGACGGUCUUCACGGGGCCUGCGAAGCGCGCGCAACCAACGAGCCAGGUUGGUCGCACGGCGUAGAUGAUGCGUGAUACGCCCAUUUUGCAUCAUGCUUUUAUAUCAAUAUUUAUUGCAUUAUGGGAUGUUAUUACACAUUAUGUCACAAUACUUAUGCCUUUUCAAUCUUAUUUUACAAGGUUUACAUGAAGAGGGAGAAUGCCGGGAGCUGGAAUUCUAGGCUGGAAAAGGAGCAAAUAUUAGAGACCAUUAUGCACAACUCCAAAAGUCCUGAAACUCCACGAAAGUCAGUUUUGGAAUAUGUAUAUAUAUAUAUAUAUAUAUAAUAUUGGGAGAAGGAAGCACCAAAGGGGGGCCACCCACCGUCCACGAGGGUGGAGGGCGCGCCCUACCCCCUAGGAGCGCCUCCUGCCUUGUGGGCCACCUGGAAGCCCCCCGAUGCCCAUCUUCUGGUAUAAGGUCUCUUGUGCCCUCAAAAAAUCAGAAGGAAGCUUUUGGGACGAAGCGCCACGGUCUCCAGGCGGAACCUUGGCGGAACCAAUCUAGAGCUCCGGCGGAGCUAUUCUGCCAGGGAAACAUCCCUCCGAGAGGGGGAAAUCAUCACCAUCAUCAUCACCAUCGAUCCUCCCAUCGGGAGGGGGUCAAUCUCCAUCAACAUAUUCACUAGCACCAUCUCCUCCCAAACCCUAGUUCAUCUCUUAUACCCGAUCUUUGUCCCAAAACCUUAGAUUGGUACCUGUGGGUUGCUAAUAGUGUUGAUUACUCCUUGUAGUUGAUGCUAGUUGGUUAAUUUGGUGGAAGAUUAUAUGUUCAAAUCCUUUAUACACAUUAAUACCCCUCUGAUUAUGAACAUGAAUAUGAUUUGUGAGUAGUUAUGUUUGUUCCUGAGGACAUGGGAGAAGUCUUGUUAUAAGUUGUCGUGUGAAUUUGGUUCGUUCGAUAUUUUGAUGAGAUGUAUGUUGUCUUUCCUCUAGUGGUGUUAUGUGAACGUCGACUACAUGACACUUCACCAUUGUUUGGGCCUAGGGGAAGGCAUUGGAAAGUAAUAAGUAGAUGAUGGGUUGCUAGAGUGACAGAAGCUUAAACCCUAGUUUAUGCGUUGCUUCGUAAAGGGCUGAUUUGGAUCCAUAUGUUUCAUGCUAUGCUUAGGUUUACCUUAAUUCUUCUUUCGUAGUUACGGAUGCUUGCGAGGGGGGUUAAUCAUAAGUGGGAUGCCUGUCCAAGGAAGGGCAGUACCCAAGCACCGGUCCACCCACAUAUCAAAUUAUCAAAGUAACAAACGCAAAUCAUAUGAGCAUUAUGAAAACUAGCUUGACAAUAAUUCCCAUGUGUCCUCGGGGGCGCUUUCCUUUAUAUAAGAGUUUGUCCAGGCUUGUACUUUGCUACAAAAAGGAUUGAGCCACCUUGCUGCACCUUGUUUACUUUUGUUACUUAUUACCCGUUACGAAUUACCGUAUCACAAAACUAUCUAUUACCGAUAAUUUCAAUGCUUGCAGAGAAUACCUUACUGAAAACCGAUUGUCAUUUCCUUCUGCUCCUCGCUGGGUUCGACACUCUUACUUAUCGAAAGGACUACGAUAAAUCCCCUAUACUUGUGGGUCAGCAAGACUCUUUUCUGGUGUCGUUUCCGGGGAGUGAAGCGUCUUUGGUAGGUGGAAUUUGGUAAGGAAAAUUUUAUAUAGUGUGCUGAAAUUUACUGUCACUUGUUACUAUGGAAAAUAAUUGUUUGAGGGGCUAGUUCGGGGUAUCUUCACCUCGACAAGUAGAGCAAAGAGUUGCUCCUCAACCUAAUGAACCUACUGAAAAUGUUUACUUUGAAAUUCCUUCGGGUAUGAUAGAGAAACUGCUAGCUAAUCCUUUUACAGGAGAUGGAACAUUAUAUCCCGAUAUGUACCUAAUCUAUGUGGAUGAAGUUUGUGGAUUAUUUAAGCUUGCAGGUAUGCGAGGAUGUUAUCAAGAAGUACGUCUUCCCUUUAUCUUUGAAGGGAAAAGCAUUGACAUGGUUUAGGCUAUGUGAUGAUAUUGGAUCGUGGAACUACAACCGAUUGAAAUUGGAAUUUAAUCAGAAGUUUUUAUCCUAUGUAUCCGGUUCAUCGUGAUCGUAUAUAUAUAGUGCUAAUAUUCAUCACCCAGGGUGCAGAAUAAGUUAUUCUUCACCCGAGGUAAUCUUACGAUCAUUUCAUAAUUAAAUUACGUUUACAAUUCAAAUAGUUACAUUCCUAUUGAUUCAUUACGUAAAAUUUGGCAUAAGAAAAUAAAAAUAUAGGUCAUAAGACAAGAAAAUUUGCAGUUUAUGUGUAUUUUACACUAUGUUUUUACAUUUUUAAUUUUACAUAACAUAAAAUAUUUUUUACAAUGAUUAUAUAUUUUCUUACGGUCUCUUUUUACAUCGGAAAUAAGACAAAACUUACGGAACGUAAAAUUAUGGGGUAUUGAUGAUAAAAUAGAGGGGGGGGGUGAAGAAUAACCUUUCCUCACCCAGGGUGACGAAUAGCGCGACCCUAUAUAGGACUACUCUUCUGUACUCCUGGGAGUAUGUACUCUCAUUCUCAAUAUACCUCAUAUACACAUUAAUUAUACCUCUUUAUUAUUCUCAAUAUACUUCAUUAAAUAUUCUAAGAUACCCCAAUACGAGUUUUGUUGAAAAAAUAUCAUCUGUGAUGUACUUUUUGUAAUAUACCUUUUUCACGUACAAACACAUCAGUAUAUACAUAAACAUUUAAAAAUAUGUAGACUCACAUGAGUUUUUUCAUGGAACUCAUUUUGGGGUAUCUAAUAAUUACAAAUAAAGUAUAUUAAAAAUAAUAAAGUGGUAUAAAAGAUUCAUCUAUGUGGUAUAUGAGAAGCAGGAGUACGUAUUCCCAGGAGUACGCAACCAUUUUCCUUUAUAUAUAUAUAUAUAUAUAUAUAUAUAUAUAUAUAUAUAUAUAUAAAUUUUGGCCUCACGAAGGAGAAAGUAUCGCUCAAGCUUGGGGGAGGCUUAAGUCAAUGUUAUAUUCAUGCCCCAAUCAUGAGCUCUCAAGAGAAAUUAUUAUUCAAAAAAUUUAUGCUCGGCUUUCUCUCAAUAAUCGCUCCAAUGCUCAAUACUUCUUGUACUGGUUCUUUUAUGAUGAAGACUAUUGAAUUCAAAUGGGAUUUAUUGGAAAGAAUUAAACGCAACUCUGAAGAUUGGGAACUCGACGAAGGUAAGGAGUCAGGUAUAACACCUAAGUUUGAUUGUGUUAAAUAUUUUAUGGAUACCGAUGUUUUUCAUGAAUUUAGAACUAAAUAUGGACUUGACUCUGAGAUAGUAGCUUCUUUUUGUGAAUCAUUUGCUACUCAUGUUGAUUUUCCUAAAGAGAAGUGGUUUAAAUAUCAUCCUCCCAUUGAAGUAAAAGUAGUCAAACCUAUUAAAGUUGAAAAAAAUAUCACUUAUAAUGUUGAUCCUAUUGUUCCUACCGCUUAUAUUGAGAAACCACCUUUCCCUGUUAGAAUAAAGGAUCAUGCUAAAGCUUCAAUUGUGGUUCAUAAGAGUAAUGCUAGAACACCUACACCCCCGAGCAAAUUAAAGUUGAACCUAGUAUUGCUAUUGUUAAAGAUCUCUUGGUCAAUAAUAUUGAUGGGCAUGUUAUUUACUUCUGUGAUGAAGCUGCUAGAAUUGCUAGACCCGAUACUAAAAAUAAACAUAGACCUAUUGUAGGCAUGCAUGUUGUUUCUGUUAAAAUAGGAGAUCAUUGCUAUCAUGACUUAUGUGACAUGGGUGCUAGUGCGAGUGCAAUACCUCAUUCCUUAUACAAACAAAUUAUGCAUGAUAUUGCACCUGUUGGGAUAGAAGGUAUUGAUGUUACAAUUAAGCUUGCCAAUAGAGAUACUAUUUCACCAAUUGGGAUUGUUAGAGGUGUUGAAGUCUUGUGUGGGAAAGUUAAAUAUCCUACUGAUUUUCUUGUUCUUGGUUCCCCACAAGAUGAAUUUUGUCCCAUUAUAUUUGGUAGACCCUUCUUGAAUACUGUUAACGCUAAGGUAGACUGCAAAAAGGAUAUUGUUACCGUUGGUUUAGGGGAUAUGUCUCAUGAUUUUAAUUUUGCUAAAUUUCGUAGACAACCCCAUGAUAAAGAAUUGCCUAGUAAAGAUGAAAUUAUUGGUCUUGCUUCUAUUGCCGUGCCUCCUAAUGAUCAUUUAGAACAAUAUUUGCUAGACCAUGAAAAUGAUAUGUUUAUGAAUGAAAGAAGGGAAAUAAAUGAAGUAUCCUUUAAACAGGGACUUAUUUUGAAACACAACUUGCCUGUUGAAAUUCUAGGGGAUCCUCCUCCACCCAAGGGUGAUCCCGUGUUUGAGCUUAAACCAUUACCCGAUAAACUUAAAUAUGCUUAUCUUGAUGAAAAGAAGAUAUAUCAUGUUAUUAUUAGUGCUAACCUUUUGGAGCAGGAAGAAGAGAAAUUAUUGAGAACUCUGAACAAGCACCGUGCUGCUAUUGGAUAUACUCUUGAUGAUCUUAAGGGCAUUAGUCCCACUCUAUGCCAGCACAAAAUAAAAUUGGAGAAAGACGCUAAACCGGUUGUUGAUCACCAACGACGGUUAAAUUCUAAGAUGAAAGAAGUGGUAAGAAAUGAAAUACUAAAGCUUCUGGAGGCAGGUAUAAUUUAUCAUGUUGCUGAUAGUCAGUGGGUAAGUCCUGUCCAUUAUGUCCCUAAGAAGGGAGGUAUUACUGUUGUUCCUAAUGAUAAAGAUGAAUUGAUCCCACAAAGAAUUGUCACAGGUUAUAGAAUGGUAAUUGACUACCGCAAAUUAAUAAAGCUACUAGAAAGGAUCAUUACCCUUUACCUUUUAUUUAUCAAAUGCUAGAAAGAUUGUCCAAACAUACACAUUUUUGCUUUCUAGACGGUUAUUCUGGUUUCUCUCAAAUACCUGUGUCAGAAGAGGAUCAGGAAAAGACCACUUUUACUUUCCCUUUCAGUACCUUUGAUUAUAGAUGUAUGCCUUUUGGUUUAUGUAAUGCACCUGCUACCUUUCAAGGAUGUAUGACUGCUAUAUUCUCUGACUUUUGUGAAAAGAUUGUUGAGGUUUUCAUGGAUGAUUUAUCCGUGUAUGGAACUUCUUUUGAUGAUUGCUUAAACAACCUUGAUAGAGUUUUGGAGAGAAGUGAAGAAACUAAUCUUGUCUUGAAUUGGGAGAAGUGCCACUUUAUGGUUGAUGAAGGUAUUGUCUUGGGGCAUAAAAUUUCUGAAAGAGGUAUUGAAGUUGAUAAAGCUAAAGUUGAUGCUAUUGAAAAGAUGUCGUCUCCUAAGGACAUUAAAGGUAUAAGAAGUUUCCUUGGUCAUGCUGGUUUUUAUAGGAGGUUCAUUAAAGACUUCUCAAAAAUUUCUAGGCCUCUGACUAAUCUCUUACAUAAGGAUGUUCCUUUUGUCUUUGAUGAUGAUUGUGUAGAAGCAUUUGAAAUACUUAAGAAACCCUUGGUUUCUGCACCUACUGUUCAGCCACCUGAUUGGAAUUUACCCUUUGAAAUUAUGUGUGAGGCUAGCGAUUAUGCUGUAGGUGCUGUUCUAGGACAAAGAGUUGAUAAGAAAUUAAAUGUUAUCCAAUAUGCUAGUAAAACUCUAGACAGUGCCCAAAGAAAUUAUGCUACUACUGAAAAAUAAUUUUUGGCAGUUGUAUUUGUUUGUGAUAAGUUCAGUAUAUUGUUGAUUCCAAAAUAAAUGUUCACACUGAUUAUGCUGAUAUUAAAUAUCUUAUGGAAAAGAAAGAUGCUAAACCUAGACUUAUUAGAUGGGUUCUAUUGCUACAAGAAUUUGAUUUGCAUAUUAUUGAUAGAAAGGGAGCUGAGAACCCCAUUGCAGACAACUUAUCUAGGUUAUAGAAUGUUCUUGAUGACCCACUACCUAUUGAUGAUAGCUUUCCUAAUGAACAAUUAGAUGUCGUAAAUGCUUCUCAUACUGCUCCAUGGUAUGCUGAUUAUGCUAAUUACAUUGUUGCUAAAUUUAUACCACCUAGUUUCACAUACCAGCAAAAGAAAAAGUUUUUCUAUGAUUUAAGACAUUACUUCUGGGAUGACCCACACCUUUAUAAAGAAGGAGUAGAUGGUGUUAUUAGACGUUGUGUCCCUGAGCAAGAACAGGAGCAGAUCCUACGCAAGUGUCUCUCCGAGGCUUAUGCAGGACACCACGCUGGAGAUAGAACUGCACAUAAGGUAUUGCAAUCCGGUUUUUAUUGGCCUACUCUUUUCAAAGAUGCCCAUAAUUUUGUCUUGUCUUGUGAUAAAUGUCAAAGAAUUGGUAAUAUUAGUAGACGUCAAGAAAUGCCUAUGAACUAUUCACUUGUUAUUGAACCAUUUAAUGUUUGGGGCUUUGAUUAUAUGGGACCGUUUCCUUCCUCUAAUGGGUAUACACAUAUUUUAGUUGCUGUUGAUUAUGUUACUAAGUGGAUAGAAGCUAUUCCAACUAGUAGUGCUAAUCAUAACACCUCUAUUAAGAAACUUAAUGACUGAUGGUGGUUCACAUUUUAUUCAUGGUGCUUUUCAUAAAAUGCUUGCUAAGUAUGAUGUUAAUCAUAGAAUUGCAUCUCCAUACCACCCACAAUCUAGUGGUCAAGUAGAACUGAGUACUAGAGAGAUUAAAUUAAUUUUGCAAAAGACUGUUAAUAGAUCUAGAAAGAAUUGGUCCAAGAAACUUGAUGAUGCAUUAUCGGCCUAUAGAACUGCAUAUAAAAAUCCUAUGGGUAUGUCUCCGUAUAAAAUGAUUUAUGGAAAAGCAUGUCACUUAGCUCUCGAACUAGAACAUAAGGCAUAUUGGGCCAUUAAAGAGCUCAAUUAUGAUUUCAAACUUUCCGGUGAGAAGAGACUAUUUGACAUUAGCUCACUUGAUGAGUGGAGAACCCAUGCCUAUGAGAAUGCCAAACUGUUUAAAGAAAAAGUUAAAAGAUGGCAUGACAAAAGGAUACAAAAGCGUGGGUUUAAUGCAGGUGAUUAUGUUCUGUGAUACAACUCGUUUAAGAUUUUUUGCAGGAAAACUCCUCUCUAAAUGGGAAUGUCCUUACGUUAUCGAGGAGGUUUAUUGUUCCGGUGCCAUAAAAAUCAAUGAUGUCUACUACAAAACCUUCUUCUUGUAGAUGUUGUUGGGCCUCCAAGUGCAAAGGUUUGUAGGAUAGUAGCAAAUUUCCCUCAAGUGGAUGACCUAUGGUUUAUCAAUCCGUAGGAGGCAUAGGAUGAAGAUGGUCUCCCUCAAGCAACCCUACAACCAAAUAACAAAGAGUCUCUUGUGUCCCCAACACACCCAAUACAAUGGUAAAUUGUAUAGGUGCACUAGUUCGGCGAAGAGAUGGUGAAACAAGUGGUAUAUGGAUAGUAGAUAAAGGUAUUUGUAAUCUGGAAUUAUAAAAACAUAAAGGUAGCAAGUGAGAAAAGUGAGCGUAAACGGUAUUGCAAUGUGUUGAAACAAGGCCUAGGGUUCAUACUUUCGCUAGUGUAAGUUCUCUCAACAAUGAUAACAUAAUUGGAUCACAUAACUAUCCCUCAACAUGCAACAAGGAGUCAAUCCAAAGUCACUAAUAGCAGAGAACAAAUGAAGAGAUUAUGGUAGGGUACGAAACCACCUCAAAGUUAUUCUUUCCAAUCAAUCCGUUGGGCUAUUCCUAUAAGUGUCACAAACAGCCCUAUAGUUCGUACUAGAAUAACACCUUAAGACACAAAUCAACCAAAACCCUAAUGUCACCUAGAUACUCCAAUGUCACCUCAAGUAUCUGUGGGUAUGAUUAUACGAUAUGCAUCACACAAUCUUAGAUUCAUCUAUUCAACCAACACAUAGAACCUCAAAGAGUGCCCCAAAGUUUAUACCGGAGAAUCACGACGAGAACGUGUUCCAACCCCUAUAUGCAUAGGUUCAUGGGUGAAACCCGCAAGUUGAUCACCAAAACAUACAUCAAGUAAAUCACGUGAUAUCCCAUUGUCACCACAGAUACGCACGGCAAGACAUACAUCAAGUGUUCUCAAAUUUUUAAAGACUCAAUCCGAUAAGAUAACUUCAAAGGGGAAACUCAAUUCAUUACAAGAGAGAAGAGCGGGAGGAGAAACAUAAGAUCCAACUAUAAUAGCAAAGCUCGCGAUACAUCAAGAUCGUGCCAAAUCAAGAACACGAGAGAGAGAGAGAGAGAGAUCAAACACAUAGCUACUGGUACAUACCCUCAGCCCCGAGGGAGAACUACUCCCUCCUCGUCAUGGAGAGCACCGGGAUGAUGAAGAUGGCCACCGGAGAGGGAUUCCCCCUCCAGCAGGGUGCCGGAAUGGGUCUAGAUUGGCUUUCGGUGGCUACGGAGGCUUCUGGCGGCGGAACUCCCGAUCUAUUGUGCUCACGGAUGUUUUUAGGGUAUAUGGAGAUAUAUAGGCGGAAGAAGUACGUCAGGGGGGCCACGAGGGGCCCACGAGGGUGGAGGGCGCGCCCCCUGCCUCGUGGCAUCCUCACAGGUCCCCCGACAUGCACUCCAAGUCUUCUGGGCUUCUUUCCUUCCAAAAAUGAGUUCCGUGAAGUUUCAGGUCAAUUGGACUCCAUUUGAUUUUCCUUUUCUUCGAAACCCUAAAAUAGGGUAAAAACAGAAACUGGCACUAGGCUCUGGGUUAAUAGGUUAGUCCCAAAAAUGAUAUAAAAGUGUAUAAUAAAGCCCAUAAACAUUCAAAACAGUAGAUAAUAUAGCAUGGAGCAAUCAAAAAUUAUAGAUACAUCGGAGACGUAUCAAUCAACAACUUCGAAGGCACAAAUACAAAGGUGGUGAACGGUCAAAGAAUCAAACAUUAUAUCUCAGGUAAUCCUAUAAAUGUUGAAACCAAUGUUAUUGAUAUCGUAACCCUGGAGGAGUACAUAAGGGACACUUUCCAUAAUGUUUCAGACUCCGAAAAGGAAUAGGUAUGUGGUACGGUAAGUAAACCGACUCCAAAACAGUUCUAAUAGCAUUUUUUCUCCGUUUUGGAAUAUUUAAGAAAAUAGGAAAAUAAGAAGUAUUCCGGAAAGGACACGAAGCAUCCACGAGGGUGGAGGGCGCGCCCCCUGCCUCGUGGGCACCUCGUGUGCCCUCCGAACUCCGUUUUCUUGCAUGAUACUUCUUUUGGUCGGUAAAAAUUCAUUAUAUAAUCUCCCAAAGGUUUUGACCACCGUACCACGCAAAUAUCUCCUGCUUUUGUUUCGACAUGUUUUUCUAACAGAUCUAGGUCACCAUGACGUCUUCAAGCGCCCCCAAGGACAAGUUUUUCGAGAAGGUCAUCAACCCCUACCUCGCAGAGGUGCUGCUACACCCUCAAACCAUUGAGAUGCGUGAGGGGGUGCUGCACAUCCGUGAUGUUGAGGGACAAAGGAGGACCGGAAGCGUGGAGACAAGACUCGAAGCAAUGGAGCAACAACUUUUCAAGUGCUAGGGGAUGGUGGAACACAGACUCAACGCAAACCACAUGAUGAUCGCGGAGUUCACCAACAACCACAAGCUAGAUGCAAGAACAUUGGGGAGACCAUCUUCAAGCUUCACGAGGAAAUCGAGCACCUCCAAGCCCAGAUCUAUGACCUGUAAAACCAAAACUGUGAUUAUGAAUAUAGAUUCAAGAGGAUGAGUUUGGCUACAGAUUUGAGGAUCUCGGAGACUCGAUCAUCCUUCUAUGAUGGCGAGCCUAUGCCUUGGAAGAUGGACGACAAGCCUACAUCAUCAACAACUCCACAUCACCAUCUUCGAAGAAAGAGGCAUAAAUACAUGGGUAUGGGCACUACCCUUGGCAACUGCCAAGCUUGGGGGAGGUGCCCGGUUAUCGUAUCAACAUCAGACUUCUAUCGUUACCGUUUUUAUUAGUUUGAUCCUUUUGGUUAUAUCUUUAUCUAGUAGAAUAAAGUUUAGUAUGGUCUAGCUUUGAGUUUUGUGUUGAUCCUUAUCUAUGUAAUCGAGUCCGUAAGCUAUAUAUAAUAAAGGUUAGUCUUGAGUCGAGGGCUUAGUUAUCUUGCUAUGAUCUUGAGGGAAUAAAAGAAAAGAGAAAGAAUAAAAAGAAAUAAAGAGAUCAUAUUGAUCCUAUGGAGAGUAAUGACUUCACAUAUAAAGAGUAUGAUGAAUAAAAGUUGUUGAGAGCUGACAAACAUAGUUUUGGUCAUCGUUGCAAUAAAUAAGAAGUAAUAAAGAAAGCGAGGUUUUCACAUAUAAAUAUACUAUCUUGGACAUCUUUUAUGAUUGUGAGCACUCAUUAAAAUAUGACAUGCUAAAAAGUUGAAGUUGGACAAGGAAGACAACGUAAUGGGUUAUGUUUCCUUAUAUCCGAAAUAAAUUAUAUUGUCAUGAAUCAUGCAACAUGCUGAGCUUGCCUUUUGCCCUCAUGCUAGCCAAAUUCUUUGCACCAAGUAGAGAUACUACUUGUGCUUCCAAAUAUCCUUAAACCCAGUUUUUCCAUGAGAGUCCACCAUAUCUACCUAUGGAUUGAAUAAGAUCCUUCAAGUAUGUCGUCGGUGUUGCAAGCAAUAAAAAUUGCUCUUUAAAUAUGUAUGAUCUAUUAAUGUGAAGAAAAUAAGCUUUAUACGAGCUUGUGACAUGGAAGAAACAAAAGCGACGGACUGCAUAAUAAAGGUCUCUAUCACAAGUGGCAAUAUAAAGUGACGUUCUUUUGCAUUAAGAUUUUGUGCAUCCAACCAUAAAAGCACAUGACAACCUCUGCUUCCCUCUGCGAAGGGCCUAUCUUUUAUUUUUGUCUUAUAACUUAUGCAAAAGUCAUGGUGAUCUUCACCUUUCCCUUUUUACACUUUAUCCUUUGGCAAGCACUAUAUGUUGGAGAGAUCCGGAUAUAUAUAUAUAUAUAUAUAUAUAUAUAUAUAUAUAUAUAUCCACUCGGAUGUAGGUUAUCAUAAACUAUUAUUGUUGACAUUACCCUUGAGGUAAAAGGUUGGGAGGCAAAACUGUAAGCCCCUAUCUUUCUCUAUGUCCGAUUAAAACUUCAUACCCAUAAGUAUUGCGUGAGUGUUAGCAAUUGUGAAAGACUAAAUGAUGGUUGAGUAUGUGGACUUGCUGAAAAGCUCUUAUAUUGACUCUUUCCGAUGUUAUGAUAAAUUGCAAUUGCUUCAAUGACUAAGAUCAUAGUUUGUUAGUUUUCAAUGAAGUUUCUGAUUCAUAGUUGACAUUGUGAAUAGAUUGUUACUUUAGAUAAGAAAUCGUAUGACAAUUGGUAACUAUAUAUAUAUAUAUAUAUAUAUAUAUAUGUUGCUAUUCUAAGAAUGAUCAUGAUGCCCUCAUGUCCGUAUUCUAUUUUAUCGAGAACUCUAUCUCUAAACAUGUGGACAUAUUUUUCGAUAUCGGCUUCCGCUUGAGGACAAGCGAGGUCUAAGCUUGGGGGAGUUGAUACAUCCAUUUUGCAUCAUGCUUUUAUAUCGAUAUUUAUUGCAUUAUGGGCUGUUAUUACACAUUAUGUCACAAUACUUAUGCCUUUUCUCUCUUAUUUUACAAGGUUUAUAUGAAGAGGGAGAAUGCCGACAGCUGGAAUUCUGGGCUGGAAAAGGAGCAAAUAUUAGAGACCUAUUCUGCACAACUCCAAAAGUCCUGAAACUCCACGAAAGUCAGUUUUGGAAUAUAUAAAAAAUAUUGGGCGAAGGAAGUAGCAGAGGGGGCCACCCACCGCCCACGAGGGUGGAGGGCACGCCCUACCCCCCUAGGCGCGCCCCUGCCUCGUGGGCCACCUGGAAGCCCCCUGAUGCCCAUCUUCUGGUAUAAGGUGUCUUUUGCCCUAGGAAAAAUCAGAAGGAAGCUUUCGGGAUGAAGCGCCACCAUCUCGAGGCGGAACCAAUCUAGGGCUCCGAUGGAGCUGUUCUGCCGGGGAAACAUCCCCACGGGAGGGGGAAAUCGUCACCAUCGAUCCUCUCAUCGGGAGGGGGUCAAUCUCCAUCAACAUCUUCACCAGCACCAUCUCCUAUCAAACCCUAGUUAAUCUCUUGUACCCGAUCUUUGUCUCAAAACCUCAGAUUGGUACCUGUGGGUUGCUAGUAGUGUUGAUUACUCCUUGGAGUUGAUGCUAGUUGGUUUAUUCGGUGGAAGAUUAUAUGUUCAGAUCCUUUAUGCACAUUAAUACCCCGCUGAUUAUGAACAUGAAUAUGAUUUAUGAGUAGUUACGUAUGUUCCUGGGGACAUGGGAGAAGUCUUGUUAUAAGUAGUCAUGUGAAUUUGGUAUUUGUUCGAUAUUUUGAUGAGAUGUAUGUUGUCUUUCCUCUAGUGGUGUUAUGUGAACGUCAAAUAAAUGACACUUCACCAUUGUUUGGGCCUAGGGGAAGGCAUUGGGAAGUAAUAAGUAGAUGAUGUGUUGCUAGAGUGAUAGAAUCUUAAACCCUAGUUUAUGCGUUGCUUCGUAAGGGGCUGAUUUGGAUCCAUAUAUUUCAUGAUAUGGUUAGGUUUACCUUAAUUCUUCUUUCAUAGUUGCGGAUGCUUGCGAGGGGGGUUAAUCAUAAGUGGGAUGCUUGUCCAAGGAAGUGCAAUACCCAAGCACCGGUCCACCCACAUAUCAAAUUAUCAAAAUAACGAACGUGAAUCAUAUGAGCAUGAUGAAAACUAGCUUGACGAUAAUUUCCAUGUGUCAUCUGGGGCGCUUUCCUUUAUAUAAGAGUUUGUCCAGGCUUGUCCUUUGCUACAAAAAGGAUUGGGCCACCUUGCUGCAUGAUACGUCUCCGUCGUAUCAACAAUUUUUUAUUGUUCCAUGCCAAUAUUCUACAACUUUCAUAUACUUUUGGCAACUUUUUAUACUAUUUUUGGGACUAACAUAUUGAUCCAGUGCCCAGUGCCAGUUCAUGUUUGUUGCAUGUUUUUUGUUUCGCAGAAAAUCCAUAUCAAACGGAGUCCAAAUGGGAUAAACACUGACGGAGAUUUUUUUGGAAUAUAUGCGAUAUUUGGGAAGAAGAAUCAACGCGGGACGAUGCCCGAGGGGGCCACGAGGCAGGGGGUUGCGCCUCAGGGGGUCAGGCGCUCCCUGGGCCCUUGUGGCCAUCCUGUAAGGCUGUUGGUUCCCUUCUUUCGCCGCAAGAAAGCUAAUAUCCGCAUAAAAAUCGUGUUCAAAAUUCUGCCCAAUCGGAGUUACGGAUCUCCAGGAAUUUAAGAAACAGUGUGAUAACCCACAAGUAUAGGGGAUCGCAACAGUGUUUGAGGGUAGAGUAUUCAACCCAAAUUUAUUGAUUCGACACAAGGGGAGCCAAAGAAUAUUCUCAAGUAUUAGCAACUGAGUUGUCAAUUCAACCACACCUGGAUAACUUAAUAUCUGCAGCAAAGUAUUUAGUAGCAAAGUAAUAUGAUAGUGGUGGUAACGGUAGCAAAAGGUAAUGAUAACAAAAGUAAUGUUUUUGGUAUUUUGCAGUGAUGAUAAUAAUAGCAACGGAAAAGUAAAUAAGUGAGGAACAAUAUAUGGAAAGCUCGUAGGCAAUGGAUCGGUGAUAGAGAAUUAUGCCGGAUGUGGUUCACCAUGUAACAGUCAUAACCUAGGGUGACACAGAACUAGCUCCAAUUCAUCAAUGUAAUGUAGGCACGUAUUCCGAAUAUAGUCAUACGUGCUUAUGGAAAAGAACUUGGAUGACAUCUUUUGUCCUACCCUCCCGUGGCAGUGGGGUCCUAAUGGAAACUAAGGGGUAUUAAGGCCUCCUUUUAAUAGAGUACCGGACCAAAGCAUUAACACAUAGUGAAUGCAUGAACUCCUCAAACUACGGUCAUCACCGGGAGUGGUCCCGAUUAUUGUCACUUCGGGGUUGCCAGAUCAUAACACAUAGUAGGUGACUAUAGACUUGCAAGAUAGGAUCAAGAACUCUCAUAUAUUGAUGAAAACAUAAUAGGUUCAGAUCUGAAAUCAUGGCACUCGGGACCUAGUGACAAGCAUUAAGCACGGCAAAGUCAUAUCAACAUCAAUCUCAGAACAUAGUGGAUACUAGGGAUCAAACCCUAACAAAACUAACUCGAUUACAUGAUAAAUCUCAUCCAACCCAUCACCGUCCAGCAAGCCUAUGAUGAAAUUACUCACACACGGCGGUGAGCAUCAUGAAAUUGGUGAUGGAGGAGGGUUGAUGAUGACGAUGGCGACGGAUUCCCCUCUCCGGAGCCCCGAAUGGACUCCACAUCAGCGCUCCCGAGAGGUUUAGGGCUUGGCGGCGGCUCUAUAUCGUAAAACACGAUGAAUCCUUCUCUCUGAUUUUUUUCUCCCCGAAAGCAAAUAUAUAGAGUUGGAGUUGAGGUCGGAGGAGCUCCAAGGGGCCCACGAGGUAGGGGGCGCGCCCCCCACCCUCGUGGCUAGGGUGUGGGCCCCCUGGUCUUCAUCUUUUUCAAGGAUUUUUUUAUUAUUUCCAAAAAGACGUCCCGUGAAGUUUCAGGUCAUUCCGAGAACUUUUGUUUCUGCACAUAAAUAACACCAUGGCAAUUCUGCUGAAAACAGCGUCAGUCCAGGUUAGUUCCAUUCAAAGUAUGCAAGUUAGAGUGCAAAACAAGGGCAAAAGUGUUUGGAAAAGUAGAUACGACGGAGACGUAUCAACUCCCCCAAGCUUAAACCUUUGCUUGUCCUCAAGCAAUUUAGUUGACAAAUUGAAAGUGAUAAAGAAAAACUCUUACAAACUCUGUUUGCUCUUGGUGUUGCAAAUAUGUAAAGCCAGCAUUCAAGUUUUCAGCAAAGAUUAUAAACUAACUAUAUUCACAAUAACGCUUAGGUCUCAUAUUUACUCAUAUCAAUGGCAUAAUCAACUAGCGAGCAAUAAUAAUAAAUCUCGGAUGACGACACUUUCUCAAAACAAUCAUAAUAUGAUAUAACAAGACGGUAUCUCGCUAGCCCUUUCUGAGACCGCAAAACAUAAAUGCAGAGCACCUUCAAAGAUCAAGGACUGACUAGACAUUGUAAUUCAUGGUAAAAGAGAUCCAGUCAAGUCAUACUCAACAUAAACUAACAGUAAUGAAUGCAAAUGAUAGUGGUGCUCUCCAACUGGUGCUUUUUAAUAAGAGGAUGAUGACUCAACAUAAAAGUAAAUAGAUAGGCCCUUCGCAGAGGGAAGUAUGGAUUUGUAGAGGUGCCAGAGCUCGGUUUUGAAAUAGAGGUGAAUAAUAUUUUGAGCUGUAUACUUCCAUUGUCAACAUAACAACUAAGAGAUGGUGAUAUCUUCCAUGCUACACACAUUAUAGGCGGUUCCCAAACAGAAUGGUAAAUUUUAUACUCCCCCUCCACCAACAAGCAUCAAUCCAUGGCUUGCUCGAAACAACGAGUGCCUCCAACUAACAAGAGUCCCAGGGGGAGUUUUGUUUGCAAUUAUUUUGAUUUAGCUUGCAUAAAGCAUGGGACUGGGCAUCCUGGUGACCAGCCACUUUCUCGUCAGUGAGGAGUGGAGUCCACUCCUCUUGAGAAUAACCCUCCUAACAUGGAAGAUACAGACAACCCUAGUUGAUACAUGAGCUAUUCGAUCAUACAAAACAUGAUAUUUAUUUGAAGGUUUAGAGUUUGGCACAUACAAAUUUACUUGGAACGGCAGGUAGAUACCGUAUAUAGGUAGGUAUGGUGGACUCAUAUGGAAUAACUUUGGGGUUUAAGGGGUUGGAUGCACAAGCAGUAUUCCCACUUAGUAUAGGUGAAGGCUAGAAAAAGAUUGGGAAGCGACCAGCUAGAGAGCGACAACACUCAUGAACAUGCAUUAAAAUUAAUCAACACCGAAUGCAAGCAUGAGUAGGAUAUAAUGCACCAUGAACAUAAAUAUCGUAGAGGCUAUGUUGAUUUUGUUUCAACUACAUGCGUGAACAUGUGCCAAGUCAAGCCACUCGAAUCGUUCAAAAGAGGAUACCACCCUAUCAUACCACAUCACAACCAUUUUAAUAGCAUGUUGGCACGCAAGGUAAACCAUUAUAAGCUCCUAGCUAAUUAAGCAUGGCACAAGAAACUAUGAUCUCUAGUUGUCAUUGCAAACAUGUUUAUUCAUAAUAGGGUGAAUCAGGAACGAUGAACUAAUCAUAUUUACAAAAACAAGAGAGGUCGAGUUCAUACCAGCUUUUCUCAUCUCAGUCAGUCCAUCAUAUAUUGUCAUAAUUGCCUUUCACUUGCAUGACCGAACGAUGUGAAUAAUAUUAAGAGUGCACGUGCAUUGAACUAAGCUAGAAUCUACGAGCAUUCAAUAAACAGGAGAAGACAAGGCAAUAUGGGUUCUUGGUUAAAUCAACAAUAAUGCAUAUAAGAGCCACUUCAACAAUUUAAUCAUGGUAUUCUCCUAUCGACCCCCAAAGAAAAGAAAAGAAAUAAAACUAUUUACACGGGAAAGCUCCCAACAAGCAAAAGAAGAACAUGAAAUAUUUUUGGGUUUUCUUUUUAAUUACUACUACAAGCAUGGAAAUUAAAACUAGCUAAAAGCUACAACUAACUUUUUUGGUUUUUCUAAAGGUUUAUUAAACACACAAGAAGAAAGCAUAAAAAAGGAAAAUAAACUAGCAUGUAUAUUGCAAUGAAAAAGUAUGAGCACCGACACCUAACAAUGAGUGUGUGAACAUAAAUGUAAUGUCGGUGAGAAAUACGUACUCCCCCAAGCUUAGGCUUUUGGCCUAAGUUGGUCUAUGGCCAUGGUUGGCCUGGCGGAUAUCCAUAGUAAUAGUUGGGGUCGUACUGCGAUGCAGUAGUCAUUGCAUCGUGGGCUGCAGCUUGGAGGCGAGCUAUCUCAGCUCUCCUCUUAUACUCUUCCGCCUCCUCUCUAGUUAUAAAAUAUCUCCUUUUUGCCUGAAAGUCAAAGAAAGUAGAAGCAGGGAGAGUGACAUGAUAGGUGCGUCGUCUAUCAAAGAUUAGUCGGUACUGGAGGAACUGGUCGUCCUCUCAACAAACUGAUGACGAACCAUAUCCUCAUAAUCCAAAUAAGCAGGAGGCAACUCAAUAUCAUCUUCACGUAUGGUUAUACCAAGAAAAUUAGCUAUGCCGGUUGCAUAAAUUCCACCAAAGAAAUCUCCAUUAAAUCUAUUAAGAUGCAACCUAUGUGCAACAAUGGCUCCCAAAUUAUAAGAUUUAUCUCCUAACACAGCACUCCUAAGAAUACUGAGGUCAGGGACACACAUGUGACAUGCCUCAUCUUUACCAUUAAUGCAUCUACCUAUGAAGAGAGCAAAAUAAUGUAUAGCAGGAAAGUGAAUGCUCCCUAUGGUAGCUUGUGUUAUAUCUCUAGAUUCCCCCACAGUUAUACUAGAAAGAAAAUCUCUAAAUUCAGAUUUGCGAGGUUCCCUGACACUACCCCAUUGUGGAAGUUUGCAAGCAGUCGUAAAAUCCUCUGAGUCCAUCGUAUAAGAUUUUUCAUAAAGAUCAAACAGGACAGUUGGAGAAUUGCGUGAAGAUGAAAAUUCAAACCUCCUCACAAAGGAACUAGUGAGAUAGUGGUACUGGCGGCAGUUUUCCUCCUCGAAGCUCACAAGAUCAGCGUUACGCAAAUAUGCGUUAAAUUCUUCCUUGAUUUCCGCUUGAUCCAUAAAGUCCUCUGAAGGCCAUUCACAGGGCCGCACUGGAGCGUCCCUUGGUGGCUCAUCAUCAGCAUCACGCAUUGCAAGCCUGGGCUCUUGUUUCCUUGAAGGGCCACCUUGGUACAUUUUCCUAAACAUAUUUCUUCCUCUGAAAAGUUUCUGAAAUUAUUAGUAACUUCAAAAAUAAAAGUGAACCAAAGUCAACAAUAUUGAUAGCAACUACUCCUACAAGUGCCUAGAGCCUACAUCGUGCAUCAAGACUACUUGGAACCACAUAAAUUUGACAUGCAAGAUCAAGAACAGGGUCACCUAGGCAGCACAAAUUUGCAAUGAAUAAAGCACUUGAACAAAAACUAAUUGGACCAAUGGAGGAGUCACAUACUGCUACCUCUUGAGCAUUGCGUUGGUUUUCCCCGAAGAGGAAGGGAUGAUGCAGCAAAGUAGCGUAAGUAUUUCCCUCCGUUUUUGAGAACCAAGGUAUCAAUCCAGUAGGAGGCUACGCGCGAGUCCCUCGUACCUGCACAAAACAAAUAAAUCCUCGCAACCAACGCAAAUAGGGGUUGUCAAUCCCUAUAAGUCCACUUACGAGAGUGAGAUCUGAUAGAUAUGAUAAGAUAAUAUUUUUGGUAUUUUUAUGAUAAAUAUGCAAAGUAAAGUAAAGGCAAAGUAAAUAGCAAAGGAAAUAACUAAGUAGUAGGAGAUCAAUAUGAUAAAGAUAGACCAGGGGGCCAUAGGUUUCACUAGUGGCUUCUCUCAAGAGCAUAAGUAUUCUACAGUGGGUGAACAAAUUACUGUUGAGCAAUUGACAGAAAUGAGCAUAGUUAUGAGAAUAUCUAGGUAUGAUCAUGUAUAUAGGCAUCACGUCCGAGACAAGUAGACCGACUCCUGCCUGCAUCUACUACUAUUACUCCACUCAUCGACCACAAUCCAGCAUGCAUCUAGAGUAUUAAGUUAAAAACAGAGUAACGCCUUAAGCAAGAUGACAUGAUGUAGAGGGAUAGACUCAUGCAAUAUGAAGAAAACCCCAUCUUGUUAUCCUCGAUGGCAACAAUACAAUACGUGCCUUGCUGCCUCUACUAUCACUGGGAAAGGACACCGCAAGAUUGAACCCAAAGCUAAGCACUUCUCCCAUUCCAAGAAAGAUCAAUCUAGUAGGCCAAACCAAACUGAUAAUUCGAAGAGACUUGCAAAGAUAACCAAUCAUACAUAAAAGAAUUCAAAGAAGAUUCAAAUAUUAUUCAUAGAUAGACUUGAUCAUAAACCCACAAUUCAUCGGUCUCAACAAACACACCACAAAAAGAAGAUUACAUCGAAUAGUUCUCCACACGAGAGGGGGAGAACAUUGUAUUGAGAUCCAAAAAGAGAGAAGAAGCCAUCUAGCUACUAACUAUGGACCUGUAGGUCUGAGGUAAACUACUCACACUUUAUCGGAGAGGCUAUGGUGUUGAUGUAGAAGCCCCCCGUGAUCGAUGCCCCCUCCGGCGGAGCUCCGGAACAAGCCCCAAGAUGGGAUCUCGUGGAUACAGAAAGUUGCGGUGGUGGAAUUAGGUUUUUGGCUCCGUAUCUGAUCGUUUGGGGUAUGUAGGUAUAUAUAGGAGGAAGGAGUAUGUCGGUGGAGCAACAGGGGGCCCACGAGGGUGGAGGGCGCCCCUGGUGGGGGUGGGCGUGCCCCCCUACCUCGUGGCCUCCUCUUUUCUUUCUUGACGUAGGGUCCAAGUCUCCCGGGUCUUGUUCGUUGAGAAAAUCACGUUCCCGAAGGUUUCAUUCCGUUUGGACUCCGUUUGAUAUUCCUUUUCUUCGAAACCCUAAAACAGGCAAAAAAGAGCAAUUCUGGUCUGGGCCUUCGGUUAAUAGGUUAGUUCCAAAAAUAAUAUAAAAGUGGAUAAUAAAGCCCAAUAAUGUCCAAAACAGUAGAUAAUAUAGCAUGGAGCAAUCAAAAAUUAUAGAUACAUUGGAGACGUAUCAAGCAUCCCCAAGCUUAAUUCUUGCUCGUCCUCGAGUAGGUAAAUGAUAAAAACAGAAUUUUUGAUGUGGGGUGCUACUUGGGAUAAUUUUAAUGUAAUUCUUAUUAAUUGUGGUAUGAAUAUUCAGAUCCGAAAGAUUCAAGACAAAAUUUUAAUAUUGACAUAAGAACAAUAAUACUUCAAGCAUACUAACAAAGCAAUUAUGUCUUCUCAAAAUAACAUGGCUAAAGAAAGUUAUCCCUACAAAAUCAUAUAGUCUGGCUAUGCUCUAUCUUCACUACACAAAAUAUUUAAAUCAUGCACAACCCCGAUGACAAGCCAAGCAAUUGUUUCAUACUUUUGACAUUCUCAAAACGUUUUCAAUCUUCACGCAAUACAUGAGCGUGAGCCAUGGAUAUAGUACUAUAGGUGGAAUAGAGUGGUGGUUGUGGAGAAGACAAAAAGGGAGAAGAUAGUCUCACAUCAACUAGGCGUAUCAACGGGCUAUGGAGAUGCCCAUCAAUAGAUAUCAAUGUGAGUGAGUAGGGAUUGCCAUGCAACGGAUGCACUAGAGCUAUAAGUAUAUGAAAGCUCAAAAAGAAACUAAGUGGGUGUGCAUCCAACUUGCUUGCUCAUGAAGACCUAGGGCAUUUUGAGGAAGCCCAUCAUUGGAAUAUACAAGCCAAGUUCUAUAAUGAAAGAUUCCCACUAGUAUAUGAAAGUGAUAACAUGAGAGACUCUCUACUAUGAAGAUCAUGGUGCUACUUUGAAGCACAAGUGUGGUAAAAGGAUAGUAACAUUGUCCAUUCUCUCUUUUUCUCUCAUUUUUUUAUUUGGGCAUUUUCUCUUUUUAUGGCCUCUUUUCUUUCUCUUUUAUUUAUUUCUUUAUUUUUCGUCCGGAGUCUCAUCCCGACUUGUGGGGGAAUCAUAGUCUCCAUCAUCCUUUCCUCACUAGGACAAUGCUCUAAUAAUGAUGAUCAUCACACUUUUAUUUUUCUUACAACUCAACAAUUACAACAAUGAUGAUCAUCACUGGGACAAUGCUCUAAUAAUGAAGCACAAGUGAGGGCGCGCCUGGUGGGGGUGGGCGCGCCCCCUACCUCGUGGCCUCCUCUUUUCUUUCUUAAUGUAGGGUCCAAGUCUCCCUGGUCUUGUUCGUUGAUAAAAUCACGUUCCCGAAGGUUUCAUUCCGUUUGGACUCCGUUUGAUAUUCCUUUUCUUCGAAACCCUAAAACAGGCAAAAAAAACAGCAAUUCCGGGGUGGGCCUCUGGUUAAUAGGUUAGUCCCAAAAAUAAUAUAAAAGUGGAUAAUAAAGCCCAAUAAUGUCCAAAACAGUCAAUAAUAUAGCAUGGAGCAAUCAAAAAUUAUAGAUACAUUGGAGACGUAUCACAUACCAAGGAACAAUCCCCCAAGCAAUUUUGUGAGAGGUGCUUUGAGCAAGGAGAUCGAAAAUGGCAGUAAAAUGAGCUUGGACUCAGGUUUGAACUAGAUAAUCGUGUUUGUGGGAGGAAGAAGGAGUGUGUGGGUGUAGGAAUAAGUGGAGGAGGGCCACCAUGGGCCCACGAGGCAGCGGGGCGCGCCCAGGGGGGUAGGGCGUGCCCUCCACCCUCGUGGCCAGGUGGAUGCCCCCCAGGGCUGUGUUCUCAGGGCCAACUAUUCUCAAAUAUUCCAGAAAAAAUCAUAUUUAAAUUUCAGGGCAUUUGGAGAACUUUUAUUUUCGGGGUAUUUUUAUAUUGCACGGAUAAAUCGGAUAACAGACGGAAAAUACUUAUUUUUAUCUUAUUUAAUAUAAAUAACAGAAAGUAAAAGGAGGGUACAGAGAGUUGUGUUUUCUAACUUCAUCCAUCUCAUGAUCAUCAAAAGAAAUCCAUUAACAAGGUUGAUCAAGUCUUGUUAACAAACUCAUUUCGAAUAACAUGGAACCGGAGAAUUUUCGAAUAACACUAGGUUACCUCAACGGGGAUAUGCACAUCCCCAACAAUAAGAAUAUCAUAUUUCUUCUUGACAGUAGGAAGAAGAAAUUCAAAACCUCCCAAAAUAAUUGAUGGAAUUUUUCCGAUAGAAUUGAUACUAUGGACUUGAGGUUGUUUCCUCGGAAAGUGUACCGUAUGCUCAUUACCAUUAACAUGAAAAGUGACAUUGCCUUUGGUGCAAUCAAUAACAGCCCCUGCAGUAUUCAAAAAAGGUCUUCCAAGAAUAAUAGACAUACUAUCGUCAUCGGGAAUAUCAAGAAUAACAAAGUCUGUUAAAAUAGUAACGUUUGCAACCACAACAGGCACAUCCUCACAAAUACCGACAGGUAUAGCAGUUGAUUUAUCAGCCAUUUGCAAAGAUAUUUCAGUAGGUGUCAACUUAUUCAAAUCAAGUCUAUGAUAUAAAGAGAGAGGCAUAACACUAACACCGGCUCCAAGAUCACAUAAAGAAGUUUUAACAUAGUUUCUUUUAAUGGAGCAUGGUAUAGUGGGUACUCCUGGAUCCCCAAGUUUCUUUGGUAUUCUACCCUUAAAAGUAUAAUUAGCAAGCAUGGUGGAAAUUUCAGCUUCCGGUAUCUUUCUUUUAUUAGUAACAAUUUCUUUCAUAUACUUAGCAUAAGGAUUCAUUUUGAGCAUAUCAGUUAAUCGCAUACGCAAAAAGAUAGGUCUAAUCAUUUCAGCAAAGCGCUCAAAAUCCCCAUCAUCCUUUUUCUUGGAUGGUUUGGGAGGAAAAGGCAUGGGUUUCUGAACCCAAGGCUCUCUUUCCUUUCCGUGUUUCCUAGCAACAAAGUCUUCCUUAUCAUAACGUUGAUUCUUUGAUUGUGGGUUAUCAAGAUCAACAGCAGGUUCAAUUUCUAUAUCAUUAUCAUUACUAGGUUGAGCAUCAUCAUGAACAUUAUCAUUAAUAUUAUCACUAGUUUCAGGUUCAUUACCAGAUUGUGUUUCAGCAUCAGAAAUAGAAAUAACAUUUGGAUUCUCAGGUGUUUCAGCGAUAGGUUCACUAGGAGCAUGCAAAGUCCUAUCAUUUUUCUUUUUCUUCCUUUUAGAAGGACUAAGUACAUCUAUAUUAUUUCUCUGAGAAUCUUGCUCAAUUCUCUUAGGGUGGCCUUCAGGAUAUAGUGGUUCCUAAAUCAUUCUACCAGUUAUAGUAGCCACUCUAACAGCAUAAUCAUUAUUCUUACUAUUCAAUUCAUUGAGCAAAUCAUUUUGAGACUUAAGUACUUGUUCUACUUGAGUGGUAACUAUAGAAGCAUGUUUACUAAUGAGUUUAAGUUCACCUUUAACUCUAGACAUAUAAUCACCCAAGUAUUCAAGCCUAUCAGGAUUAUAUUUCAAUUAUCUACCAAUAAGCAUUAAAGUUUUCUUGUUUAACAAUGAAAUUGUCAAACUCAUCUAACCAUUGUCUAGCAGACUUAUAACGAGGGAUAUCACCUUCAUCAAAUCUAUAGAGAGAAUUUACCUUUACUACCUGUGUCGGGUUAUCAAGACCAUGUAUUUCUUCAAUAGGUAAUGGAUUAAGAUCAUAUGUUUCUUUAACAGGCGGUAAAUUAAGACCGUGUAUUUCUUCAAUAGGAGGUAAAUUCUUAACAUCUUCAGCUUUAAUAUCUUUUUCUUUCAUAGAUUUCUUUGUCGCUUGCAUAUCUUCAGGACUGAGAAAUAGAACACCCCUUUUCUUCGGAGUUGGUUUAGGAAUAGGUUCAGGAGUUGGCUCAGGAAGUGUCCAAUUAUUUUCAUUUGUCAACAUAUUAUUCAAUAGAAUUUCAGCUUCAUCCGGUGUUCUUUCCCUGAAAAUAGAACUAGCACAACUAUCCAAGUAAUCUCUGGAAGCAUCGCUUAGUCCGUUAUAAAAUAUAUCAAGUAUUUCAUUUUUCUUAAGAGGAUGAUCAAGCAAAGCAUUAAGUAACUUGAGAAGCCACCCCCAAGCUUGUGGGAGACUCACUUCUUCAAUUUGCACAAAAUUAUAUGUGUCCCUCAAAGCAACUUGUUUCUUAUGAGCAGUGAAAUAUUUAGCAAAGAAGUAAUAAAUCAUAUCCUUGGGACUAUGCACACAAUCAGGAUCAAGAGAAUUAAACCAUAUCUUAGCAUCACCCUUUAAUGAGAACGGAAAUAUUUUAAGGAUAUAAAGGUAGCGAUAUUUCUCAUCAUUAGUGAACAUGGUGGCUAUAUUAUUUAAUUUAGUAAGAUGUGCCGCAACAAUUUUAGAUUCACAGCCAUGAAAAGGAUCAUAAUCCUUAUCAGUAACACAGAUAGGUGAAGUAGCAAAAGCAGGGUCAGGUUUCAUUCUAGCAUUAAGGGAUUGCUGCUUCCAUUUAGCUAAUAACCUCUUGAGCUCGUAUCUAUCUUUGCAAGCUAAAAUAGCUAAAGCAGAUUCUUUUUUGAUCAUCACUUUAUUAGGGAGAGUCUCUUCAUCAUCACUUUCAUCAAUGUUAUCAGUUUCAAUAAUUUCAUUCUCUCUAACCCUAGCAAGUUGUUCAUCAAGAAAUUUACCAAGUGGCACAGUAGUAUCAAGCAUAGAAGUAGUUUCAGCAUAAGUAUCAUGCAUAGCAAAAGUGGCAUCAUCAAUAACAUGCGGCAUAUCAGAACGAAUAGCAGAAGCAGGUUUAGGUGUCGCAAGCUUACUCAAAACAGAAGGUGAAUCAAGUGCAGAGCUAGAUGGCAGUUCCUUACCUCCCCUCAUAGUUGAGGGAUAAAUCUUGGCUUUUGGAUCUCUCAAGUUCUUCAUAAUGAUAAGCAGAUAUAAAUCCCAAGUGACUCAAAGAAUAGAGCUAUGUUCCCCGGCAACGGCGCCAGAAAAUGGUCUUGAUAACCCACAAGUAUAGGGGAUCGCAACAGUUUUUGAGGGUAGAGUAUUCAACCCUAAUUUAUUGAUUCGACACAAGGGGAGCCAAAGAAUAUUCUCAAGUAUUAGCAGCUGAGUUGUCAAUUCAACCACACCUGGAUAACUUAAUAUCUGUAGCAAAGUAUUUAGUAGCAAAGUAAUAUGAUAGUAGUGGUAAUGGUAGCAAAAGGUAAUGAUAACAUAAGUAAUGUUUUUGAUAUUUUGUAGUGAUGAUAAUAAUAGCAACGGAAAAGUAAAUAAGCGAGGAACAAUAUAUGGAAAGCUCGUACGCAAUGGAUCGGUGAUAGAUAAUUAUGCCGGAUGUGGUUCAUCAUGUAACAGUCAUAACCUAGGGUGACACAGAACUAGCUCCAAUUCAUCAAUGUAAUGUAGGCAUGUAUUCCGAAUAUAGUCAUACGUGCUUAUGGAAAAGAACUUGCAUGACAUCUUUUGUCCUACCCUCCCGUGGCAGCGGGGUCCUACUGGAAACUAAGGGAUAUUACGGCCUCCUUUUAAUAGAGUACCAGACCAAAGCAUUAACACAUAGUGAAUACAUGAACUCCUCAAACUACGUUCAUCACCGGGAGUGGUCCCGGUUAUUGUCACUUCGGGGUUGCCGGAUCAUAACACAUAGUAGGUGACUGUAGACUUGCAAGAUAGGAUCAAGAACUCUCAUAUAUUGAUGAAAACAUAAUAGGUUCAGAUCUGAAAUCAUGGCACUCAGGCCCUAGUGACAAGCAUUAAGCACAGCAAAGUCAUAUCAACAUCAAUAUCAGAACAUAGUGGAUACUAGGGAUCAAACCCUAACAAAACUUACUCGAUUACAUGAUAAAUCUCAUCCACCCCAUAACCGUCCAGCAAGCCUACGAUGAAAUUACUCACACACGGCGGUGAGCAUCAUGAAAUUGGUGAUGGAGGAAGGUUGAUGAUGACGAUGGCGACGGAUUCCCCUCUCCGGAGCCCCGAACGGACUCCAGAUCAGCCCUCCUGAGAGGUUUUAGGGCUUGGCGGCAGCUCCGUAUCGUAAAACGCGAUGAAUCCUUCUCUCUGAUUUUUCUCCCCGAAAGCAAAUAUAUAGAGUUGGAGUUGAGGUCAUGUUCACCAACAUAUUCAUCACCUUCCCCCAUCUAUCAACAGCGGCCCACUCUCCCGCUACCCGAUGUACUCUCUACUUGAACAUGGUGCUUUAUGCUUCAUAUUAUUAAGAAACGGUGAAAUGGUAGAAUCUGUAACGCAGAAAAAGAGAGAGAUGGAGAGACAGAUCCAAUCUCGGAGGGGCUCUCGCCCCUCCGCCGCCAUGGAGGCCAUGGACCAGAGGGGAAACCCUUCUCCCAUCUAGGGAGAAGGUAAAGGAAGAAGAAUAAGAAGUGGCCCUCUCCCCCUCUCUACCGGUGGCGCCGGAACACCGCCGGGGCCAUCAUCGUGUGUCGGUGAUCUACACCAACACCUACCUCAUGUUCACCAACAUAUUCAUCACCUUCCCCCAUCUAUCUACAACGGCCCACUCUCCCACUACCCGAUGUACUCUCUACUUGAACAUGGUGCUUUAUGCUUCAUAUUAUUAUCCAAUGAUGUGUUGCCAUCCUAUGAUGUCUGAGUAGAUUUUCGUUGUCCUAUCAGUAAUUGGUGAAUUGCUAUGAUUGGUUUAAUUUUCUUGUGGUGAUGUUGCUGUCCCUUGGUGCCCAUCAUAUGAGCGCGCACAUGGAUCACACCAUAGGGUUGGUUGUAUGUUGAUAGGACUAUGUAUUGGAGGGAAAGAGUGACAGAAGCUUCAACCUAGCAUAGAAAUUGAUGCAUACGGGAUUGAAGGGGGACCAAUAUAUCUUAAUGCUAUGGUUGGGUUUUACCUUAAUGAACACUAGUAGUUGCGGGUGCUUGCUAAUAGUUCCAAUCAUAAGUGCAUAGAAUUUCAAGUCAGGGAUGACUUGCUAGCAGCGGCCUCUCUCACAUAAAAUUUGCUAUCGGUCUAGUAAAGUAGUCAAUUGCUUAGGGACAAUUUCGCAACUCCUACCACCACUUUUCCACACUCGCUAUACUAACUUUAUUGCUUAUUUACCAAAACAGCCCCUAGUUUUUAUUUACGUGCUCUUUAUAUUCUUGCAAACAUAUCUCGUUACACCUACAAAGUAUUUCUAGUUUUAUACUUUUUCUAGGUAAAGCGAACGUCAAGCGUGCAUAGAGUUGCAUCGGUGGUCGAUAAAACUUGAGGGAAUAUUUGUUCUACCUUUAGCUCCUCGUCGGGUUUGACACUCUUACUUAUCGAAAGAGGCUAUACUUGUGGGUUAUCAAGACCUUUUUAUGGCGCCGUUGCCAAGGAGUUAUAGCGUGGGGUGAAUAUUCUCGUGUGUGCUUGUUUUCUUUAUCACUAAGUAGUUUUUAUUUUGUGCUCUUGUUUUCUAUCUUUAGUUAUGGGUAGGAAACGCAAAAUACCAAAAAAAUUAGUUGUACCUACUAAACCAAUGGUUGAAGAACCACUCAAAAUCUAUCACACUCCUCAAGCUUUUUACUUGGAUCAACUUCGAUCCCUAUGUGCUCGUGCUGAAACCCCAACUAGCUUAGUUGAAGGCAAAUCUUUAGAUGAGCAUGCUUGUUAUGUGCGACACCGCUUAUCUCAAAAAGGGAAACUUUUACGUGAUCAAAUUCAUCGUUUGCAAUGCUAUGCUUGGAAUUUAUGUGAAAUAUAUGAUUUUACUUGUUGUUCUGAAGACCCUAAGAAACACCUUCCCUACCAAUGUGAGUUUAGUGAUAAUGGAAUCGUAUCUUCGUAUGCUAAGGGUGUUUAUAAUUAUGAUGAUGUUCAACAAAUUGAAGAAUUUGUUGCUUUUAAGGGUGCUUAUGAAAUUGCUUCUUUGAUUGGAAAGUAUGAUGCUACUCUUUACAAAUCUGGAAAUUUUGCCAUACUUAAAUAUUGUUAUGAUAAUUAUGCUUCUAAUGACUAUGUUAAACCAUAUAUUGAGGACUCCUCCACUGUCCAAAAAGAGACUAAUAUUUUGCAGGAGUCUAUGGAAGAUGAAAUUGAUGAAACUGUGAGCUCAUUGGAUGAAAAAGAUGAUGAGGAGAGCGAAGAAUAAAAAGAGGAAGAGCGGAUUAGCUACCCGUGCCCACCUUCUAAUGAGAGUAACUCUUCAACUCAUACAUUAUUUAAUUUCCCUUCGUUCUUACCAGAGGAUGAAUGCCAUGAUAAUUGCUAUGAUCCCAUUGAUUCGUUUGAAAUAUCCCUUUUUGAUGAACUUGAUGCUUGCUAUGCUUGUGGCCAAGAUGCCAAUAUGAAUUAUGCUUAUGGAGAUGAACUUGCUAUAGUUCCUUAUGUUAAACAUGAAAUUGUUGCUAUUGCACCCAUGCAUGAUAGUCCUAUUAUCUUUUUGAAUUCUCCCGACUACACUAUAUCGGAGAAGUUUGCACUUAUUAAGGAUUAUAUUGAUGGGUGGCCUUUUACCGUUGCACAUGAUAAUUUUGAUAGAUAUAAUAUGCAUGUGCUUACUGCUCCUACUUGCAAUUAUUAUGAGAGAGGAACUACAUCUCCGCCUCUCCAUGUUUCAAAUAUGAUAAAAUUGCAAGAAACUGUUUAUACUAUGCAUUGGCCUUUACUAUGUGUGCAUGAAUUGUUCUUUUAUGACAUGCCGAUGCAUAGGAAGAGAGCUAUACUUCGUUGUUCCAUGAUAUAUGUUACUUUGCGCUCACUACUAAAUCAUAAAUCAUUGUUAAUUAAAAUUGGCUUUGAUAUACCUUGGGAUCCGGGUGGAUCCAUUACUUGACCACUAUAUGCCUAGCUUAAUGGCUUUAAAGAAAGCGCUGCCAGGGAGACAACCCGGAAGUUUUAGAGAGUCAUUUAUUUAUGUUGAGUGCUUUUAUAUAGUUCUAAAAAAUAAAAAUAAAAAGGGGAACCCAAAACUUUUCGAAAAGGAAAGUGAAAGUGAGAGAGACAAGCAUUGUUGAAGUGGGGGAGCUCCUUGAACUUUGUUCAUGCUCACGGAAACAUUAUGAAUCUUGAUUACAGAAACUUUUCAACAAAAAUAAUUAUCCCCUUGUACAAUUCCAUUGUAUUAUAAAAAUAACGUGCCAUGAAUUGCCUUUAGGAUGUUUACAUUGCUUGUCGGUUUGUGCGGUGCAGAACAGAAACUUUGGCUCUAGUGCGUGAUUUUACAUUUUUUUACUGGAACAUCAAACGGUUCUGAAACUUUUUGAACAGUCUUUCUAUACAAAUUUUUUAUUUUUCCUAAUUUUUCAGUAUUUUUGGAGUACCAGAGGUAUGGUGAAUGUUCAGAUUAUUUCAGGCUGUCCUGUUUAAGACAGAUUCUGUUUUUGAUGCAUAGUUUACUUGUUUUGAUGAAACUAUCGAUUUCUAUCAGUGUAUUAAGCCAUGGAAAAGUUAUAUUACAGUAGCUACAAUGCAAAAACAAAAUAUGAAUUGGUUUGCAACAAUACCUAGAGUAGUGAUUUCUUUAUUAUACUAACGGAUCUUACCGAACUUUCUGUUAAGUUUUGUGUGAUUGAAGUUUUCUAGUUUUGGGAGAGAUCACAAUGGAUGAAGGAAUAAGGAGUGGCAAGAGCCUAAGCUUGGGGAUGCCCGAGGCACCCCAAGGAAAUAUUCAAGGACUCCCAAGCAACCAAGCUUCGGGAUGCUCUGGAAGGCAUCCCCUCUUUCUUCUAACAAUCAUCGGUAAUUUUACUUGGAGCUAUAUUUUUAUUCGUCACAUGAUAUGUGCAAAUCUUGGAGCGUCUUUUGCAUUUAGUUUUCACUUUUGUUUUAUGCACCAUGCUGGUAUGAGAUAGUCCAUGGUAGAUUUAUAGAAUUCUCAUUGCACUUCACUUAUAUCUUUUGAGUAUGGCUUUAUAGAAUGCUUCAUGUGCUUCACUUAUAUCAUUUGAAGUUUGGAUUGACUGUUUCUUUUCACUUAGAAAACCGCCAUUUGUAGAAUGAUCUUUUGCUUCACUUAUAUUUCUUAGAGCAUGGGCAUAUCUUUUGUAGAAAGAAUUAAACUCUCUUGCUUCACUUAUAUCUAUUUAGAGAUGACAGCAGGAAUUGGUCAUUCACAUGGUUAGUCAUAAAAUCCUACAUAAAACUCGUAAAUCACUGAAUAUGAUAUGUUUGAUUCCUUGCAAUAGUUUUGAGAUAUAAAUAGGUGAUAUUAGAAUCAUGCUAGUGGGUAGUUGUGGAUUGUAGAAAUACUUGUGUCGAAGUUUGUGAUUCCUGUAGCAUGCACGUAUGGUGAACCGUUAUGUAACGAAGUUGGAGCAUGAGGUAUUUAUUGAUUGUCUUCCUUAUGAGUGGCGGUCGGGGACGAGCGAUGGUCUUUUCCUACCAAUCUAUCCCUCUAGAAGCAUGCGCAUAGUACUUUGUUUCGAUGACUAAUAGAUUUUUGCAAUAAGUAUGUGAUUUCUUUAUGACUAAUGUUGAGUCCAUGGAUUAUACGCACUCUCACCCAUCCAUCAUUGCUAGCCUCUUCGGUACCGUGCAUUGCCCUUUAUCACCUCGAGAGUUGGUGAAAACUUCACCGGUGCAUCCAAACCCCGUGAUACGAUACGCUCUAUCACACAUAAGCCUCCUUAUAUCUUCCUCAAAACAGCCACCAUACCUACCUAUUAUGGCAUUUCCAUAGCCAUUCCGAAAUAUAUUGCCAUGCAACUUCCAUCAUCAUAUACAUGACUUGAGCAUUUAUUGUCAUAUUGCUUUGCAUAAUCGUAAGAUAGCUAGCAUGAUGUUUUCAUGGCUUAUCCAUUUUUUGAUGUGUUGCUACGCUAGAUGAUUGCACAUCCUGGUACACCGUCGGAGGCAUUCAUAUAGAGUCAUAUCUUUGUUCUAGUAUCGAGUUGUAAUAUUGAUUUGUAAGUAAAUAAAAGUGUGAUGAUAAUCAUUAUUAGAACACUGUCCCAUGAUCAAAAUAAAAGUGGCCAAAGAAGCCCCCCCCCCCAAAAAAAGAUAGAGGCCAAAGAAGCCUAAAAAGGGACAAUGUUACUAUCCUUUUACCACACUUGUGCUUGAGAGUAGCACCAUGUUCUUCAUCUAGAGAGUCUCUUGAGUUAUCACUUUCAUAUACUAGUGGGAAUUUUUAUUAUAGAACUUGCCUUGUAUAUUCCAAUGAUGGGCUUCCUCAAAUGCCCUAGGUCUUCAUAGCAAGCAAGUUGGAUGCACACCCACUUAGUUUUCAAUUUGAGCUUUCAUACACUUAUAGCUCUUAGUGCAUCCAUUGCAUGGCAAUCCCUACUCCUCGCAUUGACAUCAAUUGAUGGGCAUCUCCAUAGCCGUUGAUUAGCCGCGUCGAUGUUAGACUUUCUCCUUUUUGUCUUCUCCACACAACCUCCACCAUCAUAUUCUAUUCCAUCUAUAAUGCUAUAUCCAUGGCUCACGCUCAUGUAUUGCGUGAAAGUUGAAAAGGUUUGAGAACGUCAAAAGUAUGAAACAAUUGCUUGGCUUGUCAUCGGGGUUGUGCAUGAUUUGAAUAUUUUGUGUGGUGAAGAUGGAGCAUAGCCAGACCAUAUGAUUUUGUAGGGAUAACUUUCUUUGGCCAUGUUAUUUUGAAAAGACAUGAUUACUUUAUUAGGAUGCUUGAAGUAUUAUUGUCUUAAUGUCAAAUGAUAGACUAUUGCUUUGAAUCACUUGUGUAUUAAUAUUCAUGCCAUGAUUAGAUUAGAUUACAUGAUCAAGACUAUGCUAGGUAGCAUUCCAUAUCAAAAAUUAUCUUUUUUAUCAUUUACCUACUCGAGGACGAGCAGGAAUUAAGCUUGGGGAUGCUGAUACGUCUCCGUCGUAUCUACAAUUUUUGAUUAUUCCAUGCCAAUAUUCUACAACUUUCAUAUACUUUUGGCAAAUUUUUAUACUAUUUUUGGGACAAACAUAUUGAUCUAGUGCCCAGUGCCAGUUCCUGUUUGUUGCAUAUUUUUUGUUUCGCAGAAAAUCCAUAUCAAACGGAGUCCAAGCGGGAUAAAAACUGACGGAGAUUUUUUUUGGAAUAUAUGUGAUUUUUGGGAUGAAGAAUCAACGUGGGACGAUGCCCGAGGGGGCCACGAGGCAGGGGGCGCGCCUCAGGGGGUCAGGCGCUCCCUGGGCCCUAGUGGCCACCCUGUAAGGUGGUUGGUGCCCUUCUUUCGCCGAAAGAAAGCUAAUAUCCGCAUAAAAACCGUGUCCAAAAUUCAACCCAAUCGGAGUACGUAUCUUUGGGAAUUUAAGAAACGGUGAAAUGGCAGAAUCUGGAACGCAGAAAAAGAGAGAGAUGGAGAGACAGAUCCAAUCUCGGAGGGGCUCUCGCCCCUCCGCCGCCAUGGAGGCCAUGGACCAGAGGGGAAACCCUUCUCCCAUCUAGGGAGAAGGUAAAGGAAGGAGAAUAAGAAGUGGCCCUCUCCCCCUCUCUACCGGUGGCGCCGGAACACCGCCGGGGCCAUCAUCGUGUGCCGGCGAUUUACACCGACACCUACCUCAUGUUCACCAACAUAUUCAUCACCCAUCUAUCUACAGCGGCCCACUCUCCCGCUACCCGAUGUACUCUCUACUUGAACACGGUGCUUUAUGCUUCAUAUUAUUAUCCAAUGAUGUGUUGCCAUCCUAUGAUGUCUGAGUAGAUUUUCGUUGUCCUAUCAGUAAUUGGUGAAUUGCUAUGAUUGGUUUAAUUUUCUUGUGGUGAUGUUACUAUCCCUUGGUGCACAUCAUAUGAGCGCGCGCGUGGAUCACACCAUAGGGUUGGUUGUAUGUUGAUAGGACUAUGUAUUGCAGGGCAAGAGUGACAGAAGGUUCAACCUAGCAUAGAAAUUGAUGCAUACGGGAUUGAAGGGAGACCAAUAUAUCUUAAUGCUAUGGUUGGGUUUUACCUUAAUAAACGUUAGUAGUGCGGAUGUUUGCUAAUAGUUCCAAUCAUAAGUGCAUAUAAUUCCAAGUCAGGAUGACAUGCUAGCAGCAGCCUCUCUCACAUAAAACUUGCUAUCGGUCUAGUAAAUUAGUCAAUUGCUUAGGGACAAUUUCGCAACUCCUACCACCACUUUUCACACUCGCCAUACUAACUUUAUUGCUUCUUUACCUAAACAGCCCCUAGUUUUUAUUUACGUGCUCUUUCUUGAAAACAUAUCCCGUUACACCUACAAAGUAUUUCUAAUUUUAUACUUGUUCUAGGUAAAGCGAACGUCAAGCAUGCGUAGAGUUGUAUCGGUGGUCGAUAAAACUUGAGGAAAUAUUUGUUCUACAUUUAGCUCCUCGUUGGGUUCGACACUCUUACUUAUCGAAAGAUGCUACAAUUGAUCCCCUCUUGUGGGUUAUCACUGCACCUUGUUUACUUUUGUUACUUGUUACCUGUUACGAAUUACUUUAUCACAAAACUAUUGGUUACCGAUAAUUUCAGUGCUCGCAGAGAAUACCUUACUAAAAACCGCUUGUCAUUUCCUUCUGCUCCUCGUUGGGUUUGGCGCUCUUACUUAUCGAAAGGGCUACGAUAGAUCCCCUAUACUUGUGGGUCAUCAAUGCGGUUCGCGGCGGCGGGUGGGUGAUCAAUGCAAUCACACGCGAGGUUGGGGACGCUGCCCGAUGAAGGAGGCGGAGUCCGAGAUGAAGCCGGUGACGAUGGACGGCGUGGGACGACGUGUGGGCGAGCGCGUCAGCACCGACACCCGGACCACCAAAGCAGCGUCGGCGCUCGGGCAGCGAGGCCCGAGCGACCAACGGAGCAGCGGCGCCCGAGCUCGAGGCAGCCAACGGACCUAACGCGGCCGGCCCGACCACUACUAGGAAAAGGGCUAUAGAUGAUAUGGCCACUAAUGGCGCACCAGACAUGUGGUGUGCCACUACUAUAUACUAAUGGCGCACCACAUCCACGAUGCAUCAUCGGUAACAAUUUUUUUUUCAUUUUUUUCAAAACUAGUAAUGGCGCACCAGUGGAUAGUGCGCCAUUACUAGUUAAGCUAGUAAUGGCGCACCACAUCCACGGUGCGCCACUAGUAAUUUUUUUCAAAUUUUUUUAUUUUUUUAAACUAGUAAUGGCGCACCGGUGGAUAGUGCGCCAUUACUAGUUAAACUAGUAACUAGUAAUGGUGCACCACAUCCACGGUGCGCCACUAGUAAAAUUUUUUCAUUUUUUUUAAUUUUUUAUUUUUUUCAAAACUAGUAAUGGCGCACCAUGGGUGUGGUGCGCCAUUACUAGUUGAACUAGUAAUGCCGCACCACNNNNNNNNNNNNNNNNNNNNNNNNNNNNNNNNNNNNNNNNNNNNNNNNNNNNNNNNNNNNNNNNNNNNNNNNNNNNNNNNNNNNNNNNNNNNNNNNNNNNNNNNNNNNNNNNNNNNNNNNNNNNNNNNNNNNNNNNNNNNNNNNNNNNNNNNNNNNNNNNNNNNNNNNNNNNNNNNNNNNNNNNNNNNNNNNNNNNNNNNNNNNNNNNNNNNNNNNNNNNNNNNNNNNNNNNNNNNNNNNNNNNNNNNNNNNNNNNNNNNNNNNNNNNNNNNNNNNNNNNNNNNNNNNNNNNNNNNNNNNNNNNNNNNNNNNNNNNNNNNNNNNNNNNNNNNNNNNNNNNNNNNNNNNNNNNNNNNNNNNNNNNNNNNNNNNNNNNNNNNNNNNNNNNNNNNNNNNGUUUCCCAUGUGAUACGUGGUCUACUUGUUGGGAAAAUUUACAAAUAUGAAUUUCGACUUUAUUUGCAAAAUCUCUCUGGAAUUUGUAAAAUGGGAACCUCGUUAAACAUUUUCAAAAUCCCCAAAAACCUAACAGAAAAAAGUUACGGAGCUUUUAAGAUCUAGAGGGAAAAAAUGGAAAAAAAAUUCAAACUUACUAGUGGCGCACCGUUUGCUAGGUGCGUCACUAGUAACAGAAAAAAAAUGUUUCAAAAAAAAUUUGAUUUUUUUCAAAAUAUGAUACGUAAUAUGACCGGAAAGUUUGAAAUAUUUUUUCAAAAUUUCAUCAUACUCAUGAACAUGAACUAAGUCCUAGACAUCAACAAGGUUUAAUAGGAUUGAUAUGAUAGAUAUAUCAACAAGUGCCAGUGAAGUGAGCUGGUGCUGGGGUUGGAUAGAACUGCGAAGUUAAGCGUGCUUGGGCUGGAGUAGUGUGAGGAUAGAUGACCUUCCAGAAAGUUUGACCACAAAGUGCGAUUUGACUUGAUAUUAAGCAUAUUGACCCGAGAUUAAGCCAUAGUGACCAGAUACUAAUAGCGCACCGUGGGCUAUACUAAUGACGCACCUGUGGUGCGCUAUUAGCAUACCAGAUACUAAUGGCGCACCAGUGUUGCGUCAUUAGUAAAAAAUUCUAAUGGCGUGGUGCUAGUGGCGCACCUGUAGUGCACCAUUAGUAGCGAAAACAGAUGCGCCACUAGCAGCCCUUUUCCUAGUAGUGGACGUAGUAGGGAUGAGGCCGGCGAGGCAACCCGCAGGGCCACCCUGUAGAUGCGGCGGAGGCGGGUGGCGUGGAACGAUUGGCGGGCCGACGCGCGAGCGGCGGCUAUGAUUGGCCGCCGCAUGGCGCGCGGCCGCUGGAUGGAGGCGAUGCAGGUGUCCGGGUCGAAAAGGACGGAGACGGUCGACGUAGAUCGACGGCGCACACACGACGACCAUGAGGGGCCGCCUGUCGCGCGAGGCCGCUGGGUCGUUGAAGGAGCCGGCCGAUCGUGAUGGUGUCGGAGUAGAGGCGCACGGGGUCCACGACAGCGGCGAACGACGCAAACCGAACGGCGAGAGAGUGAAAAAAAAUGUCGAUCAAAACGACCGGAUAGAGUAAAAACUCGGAUCAUAAUUUGACACCAUGGGGUAAAAUUGAAAUUGGAGGCAGUCCCUUUUUCCCUCCCGUUUCCGGUUUCCACUUCGUCUCCGGCUACGAAUCCAAAUGCGUACAUGCUUCCGUCGUAGUCUCGCCCAAGCCAGAGCCACGCAGCGCGUUGACCUCGUGGGGUACGGGGACCACUCGAGUACGUCUCGCUGACGCCUCAAUAUAUACAGCCGCCACCAUGCGAUCCUCUCCUCGUUUCCUUUCCUUUCCGGCCGCGCUUCCAUCGACCUCCUCCUCCUCCUCCUCCGUUCCCGAUGGGCGUCUUCCCCGGCGGCGACCACCCCGACUUCAAGGUGGACACGAACGGCGGCGCCCCGAUGCUCACCUUCUGCAAGAGGGCGCGCUACUGGAGCUCCACCGACUACCAGGAGACGCGCGCGCUCGGCGAGGGCGGCUACGGCGGCGUCGUCGAGGCGCGCCACCUCACCCACGGCUGGACCGUCGCCGUCAAGAAGCCGCUCCCUUGCGCGCACGAGGCCGCCGGCAUCGCCUGCGGCUGCGCCGACGCCCGCACGCUGUGCGAGGCGGCCUUCCUCGCGGCGUGUCACCGCCACCGCGCCAUCGUCGAGCUCCGGGCGCUCUCGCUCGCCCCUUCGCCGGGAAGCUCUCCGUCGUGAUAGAGUGCGUCGGGCCCAGCCUGCACCACGUCCUCCAUGGGCACCGGCGCGGCCGGCCGUUCCCCGAGGCCGAUGUGCGCUGCAUCAUGGAGCAGCUCCUCGGCGCCGCCAAGCACAUGCACGGGCUCCGCAUCAUGACAUCAUCCACCGCGACAUCAAGCCGGGGAACAUCCUCGUCGGCGCGGACGGCAUCAGCAACGUCAAGAUCUGCGACCUAGGGCUCGCGGUGUCCAUAUCCGAGCCCGCGCCGUACGGCCAGCACGGCACACGCCGGUACAUGGCGCCGGAGAUGCUCCUUGGCGAAACCAACUACGAUGCCACGGUUGACAUGUGGUCCCUCGGCUGCGUCAUGGCCGAGCUCCUCUCCGGGAAGCCGCUCUUCGACGGGGACGACGAUGCCCAACAGCUCCUCGCCAUCUUCCGCGUUCUCGGCGUGCCAUUGUUCACCAUCUUGCCAGCCUACGAGUCAUUGUCACUCGCCGGAAAGCUGGUGACGCCGCCGCAUGUCAUUUCCCGCAACAAGCUCCGUGAGCACUUUUCCGAGGACCGCCUCUCCAAAGAAGGCUUCGAAGUCCUCAAGGGGCUCCUCUCGUGCAACAUCGACAAGAGGUUGUAUGCCACCACCGCGCUCAGGCGACCAUGGUUCGCCAACGUCGUCGUCGAGGCGCGCCACCUCACCCACGAGUGAGAGAAUGCACCUUAUGAGGGCGCCACAUGUUGUGGCCCGAGGAGGGCCGCCCGUACGAAGUGUGCGCGUUGGAAGAUUACCUUCGGGACACGGGCGCCGGCUGAGGGGUGGAGGCCUACCGCAUGGCCCAUGGAAUUUAUUCAUUUUUUCUUUUUUUUUGUGAAGUUCCUAAAAAAUUGAACAUCCAAAAAUUGGGGGUUCAAAUUUCAUAAUUUAUAAAAGUUCUUGAAAGUUGAGUAUUUUGAAAGUAUGAAUUUCUAAAAAUUCAAAAAUAUAGAAAUUCCAUUUUUGUGGAAAUUUUUAGAACUAUAAAAGACUCUACAAGUAAGUACGGAAAUUCUUUUAAAGUUUAAAAUUCUGAAAGACGGAUUUUUUUUUAAAGUUGUAGACACAUAUUUUUGGAAGUUGCUAACAAGGAAACAUGUCAAAAAGGGAAGUUUGCCGAGGCAUUGGACUUUCCCAAAACCGUAAAAAAGCAUGGUCGAAAUCUUCCGCCCCUCCUUACUGUGCGCCUCCUAUGCUCCUAUGAAAUAGAGCCCCUAUUUUGACUUGUUACGUGUGUCACAAUUAGGGUUGUAUGUUAAUAUGUUAUACGUCAUGUAUAACUUAGACGUGGUUUGUCAUUCAUGAUAAUACAUAUUCUGGUUGUAGGGAGGCCUUAUUUCACAUUAGCAACCGAACUUUGUGAGCGCAUGUUUAUUUUAGGGCCAUCUGCAUUUCUAUCCUUAACUCGAACCAUCUACUCAGAUUUAUCCCUAAUUUUGAAGCAUGCUCAAAUUUACCCCUCCGUCGUUAAGUGACCUUACAAAAAUACCCUUCCAUUCCGUUUUCGUCCGGUCAAAGGGGUUUGACCGUCUAACUGACAUUUUUUGGACAAUUUGCCCCUACCUCCAUGUGUCACUUACAAGUGGGACCGAGUGAGAAAAAAAUAAAAAGGAAAAACAGUUUCUCUCACCCCUCACUCUCUCUACCCUCUCUCUCCACCUCCUCUCUCACUUACACGUGGGACCCCACAUGUAAGUGUCUAGUUAUUUUUAAUUAGUUUAGCAGUUUUGUUAAUUGGUAGGGCCUGCCGAUUUUGUCUCGGUAAUUAGCAUAAUAUUUAACACAUGGUAGGAUUAGUGCUAAUCUAGCUAAUGGGCCCCACAUGUCAUAGAAAGCCCAUUAGUACUAAUCGAACCACCGGCGUUAAGCCGCCGGCGAGCAAACGCCACGGCGGAGGGCGGGGGAGCUCUGUUCUGGCGACCAAACGACUGGUGGAAUGGUCCUUUGCGCUCCUGGGCUUGCUCCACGUUGAAUAGAAGUGGCAGGGCGAGCGGGGACGGCCAGAGUGUCGGGCAUGGCCUAGGCCGCCGGCGGCAGCGGUCAAAGCUAGGUGGCAGGGGGGCUAGAAAGCAGGGGGGAGAGGGGUCGGCAUCAGCGUCUCACUGCGAGCAUGCCAGAGUCUUCAAAGGGUCUGGGGACGGCCGAGCAUGAGCACACGGACCUCGCCUACGGCCGCCGGAGCAAGGCGUCGUGGGGAGGCGGCUGGACAAAGAAGAGCUCGUCGGCGACAUGUCCGGAAGUUCCGCAACACCGUAUGGAUCUCCUAUACGAUAAGGGAGCACCAAGGGACCUUGUACGACGGAAAAUCGAAGACGGCGGCCGGUGGGCAGAGGUGGCGGUGAUCUCGUCGGUUGCGUAGUUGCAAGGCACCCGAGGUCCAGAUCUACGGUGUGGUGAUGCUCUAUUCUACGGCGGGCCUUGCAGACACGGCGGUCCGGCUUCUUGCCGUCGUUGGCCACGUUAACGGCGGCGCUCGGGUGAACGGGCGGCCGGACACGCCCUUAGCCUCUGAAGACGAAGAAGAUGACCAUCCAGUGGGCUGGGCUGGCUGGGCUUUUCUGGGCCAAAAGGCUAGCAUGCGUUCUCUCUCUCUCUCUCUCUUCUUUUUAAAUUUAUAUCUUAUUUUUUUUCAGGGGCAAAACGUCCAACAAACGCCCAGAAAACGGUCAAAGCCCUUUGACCUGACGGAAACGACAUGGAGGGGUAUUUCUAUAAGGAGACUUGACGGCGUAGGGGCAAAUUUGCGCAAGCUUUGAAAUUAGGGGCAAAUCUGAGUAGUGGGUUCGAGUUAGGGACACAGAUGUAAAAGACCCUUUAUUUUAGAAAAAAGGCUAUCACUUGACUUUAAACUAGUGAAGCCCUUACAACCAACAUAACAACAUAACAUUAGUAGAAAACACACCUUUGGUUUUUGCUAGAUCAGAGCAACAGUCCCGGUCGUGUUACGAACCGGGACUAAUGGGAGCAUCAAUCCCGGUUCGAGCGGGUAGGACGUUGGCCGAGCCGCGACAGGCAUCAAUCCCGAUUCGGCUGGGACCUUUAGUCAGGGUUCCAGCCACCAACCGGGACUAAAGGGCCUAGCUCCUAGCCCAACCUCUUUAGUUCCGGUUGGUGCCUUGGACCGGGACUAAAAGGGGGGGGGGCUUUAGUCUUGGUUCUAAACACCAACCGAGACUAAAAAGAUGCCUAUAUAUAUGGUCGCCCCUGCCCGCUCUGUCCUCUGUUUUUUUUUGGCCAGCCAACGUGUGGAAGGUGUGUGUUUCUCUGUUCUCACCUACUAUGCACACGAGGUGUUCGGUGAAAUGCUUGAGCCACAUUUAAGCUUUCUCCUCUCCAAACUCGACCUCCAAACUCCAUUUUCCCCAAGAUUUGUCUAGAUUUGACAAUGCACCAACUAUCCAAGUGUUCUAAAAGGUUAGCAACUUCAACGUUUCAUCUCUCACUACUAGUUUAGCUCAUUUCAAAUGCUCUAGAAGUGUUUUAGUGGAGGAGUGUAUGUGCACAGUUUGAGCUCAAAUUAACUUCUUAGAGUUUGCACAUGUGUAGGGUGCCAUCCCGUCUCCGUCCCUGUCCUCACCGUCGUCGAUCGCCCAUGCCGAUCUCGUCGCUGGCACCACCGUGGUGAGCCUAUUGUUCUUAUCUUCUUCUUAAAAGAAAAAAAUCUUACAUGUAUUUCUGGAAGUUCCUAAUAAGGAAACAUGUCAAAAAAGGAAGUUUGGCGAGGCAUUGGACUUCCCCAAAACGGUAAAAAAAAGCAUGGCCGGAAUCUUCCACCCCUCCUUACUGUGCGCCUCAUAUGCUCCUAUGAAAUAGAGCCCCUUUUUUGACUUGUUGCAUGUGUCACAAUUAGGGUUGAAUGUUAUACGUGUAACAUGUAUAACCUAGACGUGGGCUGGUCAUUCAUGAUAAUAAAUAUUCUGGUUGUAGGGAGGCCUUAUUUCACAUUAGAACCAAACUUUGUGAGCGCAUGUUUAUUUCAGAGAAAAAAGGCUAUCGGUCGGCUUUAAAUUGGCGAAGCCCUUACAACCAACAGAACAACACAACACCACAGUAUAAAUAAAAGGCAAUGGCAAGAUACAAGGGUUCUUAGGUGGGGUAACAAAGAACCCAGAUGACCCAAGGAGAUAACAAGAAAUAAUUGAGCACUGCUUGGAGUCGUCAAAGCCCUCAUACGCGAUCGGAGGACUGAAGCAACAGACGAGGCAAACUCGAGAAGAAUAUAGAUGUCAACAAAGGCCAUGCCAUCACCAUCACUUGGUUUUACUGGCACUUGAGCGCCUUCUAGUUCCAUCGUCGAAAUGACCCCCCUGCUCCCUCGGCUCGGCUCGAAGGGUGUCACAUCAUCCGACGAUGGGAUGCUCUCACUAGUGCCUCAAUGGAAAAAAACACCAUGACCAAAAGGGAGGCCUCCGAACAUAGCGACCCCGCCGAACCUAGCUUCCAUUGAGAGCACUGCCACCAAGACCACAGAAUCGUCACCACAAAGAGAGAAAGCUACCGUACAUGAACCACAAUCUUGAUAAUCUAUAGAGAGGGGCCUUGCUCAAUGGACGGGACCUCCAAGGAGGGAACGGUGCCAGAAUGCAGCCAUCGCCCUGUCUGGCAUGCCAACUCAAGGGUUCCCAUCCAAAGCCCGUGGUGGAGGAGGCCAACCCACGAUGGCACCUCUAAAAAGGGGAGCGGCGCUCAAGAGCGUCAUCUUCACUGGCACCGACACCAUCAGGCAGAGCUUUCCCCCGGGACACACCACACUACCAUGCGAAGUCCAUCGGCCACCAUUGUAGGGGAACGUGUUACGCAACAAAAAAAUCUACACGACCACAUGCAGGAUCCUUCUGUGGAGUAAGUUGGGGGAGGUCACUUUGCUACACGAAAACAUGGAUGAAAUUAGAUGGAAAUUCAGGUCAGAUGGUUUGUAAUCUGCCAAAUCUGGGUAAGAUGCAAUCUACUGGAGUCAUCAACUCAGACAUGCCUUAGCUGGUCUUGAAGCAUUGCGCCCCUAGGGUUUGGACUACAGAUAAAAUAGACUGGAGAGGUUGGCGUAACCAUGACCUUUGCCAAUUAUGUAAGAGAGACGAAGACUGCAUAUCACCUCCUUUUCAAAUGUCGAAACUCUAUCCAGACAUGGAGUAUGUUAGGAAAUUGGCUAGGCCCCAACCAGAGUUGUCUGGCUAGCUAGACCGUCUUUCCUUCGGUUAAAGAGUGGUGGAUGCACAUGUUGUGAUGCCGGACCAUGCUUCUCUCUUGGGAGAUUUGUUUGCAACAAAAUAAAUACUUUUUUCCUUUCAUAAUGAAUCUAACACGCUGACCUUCAAGACAUCCAAUCCAAAAUCAGUGGCGGAGCUAGCGGCGAAUCAAAGGGAGGGCCAAAGAGAAAGUAUGCACCUUUGAAGGGGCCAAAAGACAACAAUCUUCUUNNNNNNNNNNNNNNNNNNNNNNNNNNNNNNNNNNNNNNNNNNNNNNNNNNNNNNNNNNNNNNNNNNNNNNNNNNNNNNNNNNNNNNNNNNNNNNNNNNNNNNNNNNNNNNNNNNNNNNNNNNNNNNNNNNNNNNNNNNNNNNNNNNNNNNNNNNNNNNNNNNNNNNNNNNNNNNNNNNNNNNNNNNNNNNNNNNNNNNNNNNNNNNNNNNNNNNNNNNNNNNNNNNNNNNNNNNNNNNNNNNNNNNNNNNNNNNNNNNNNCCCCUCGGCAUUGCACAUAGGUCCGCCACUUUUCGAGAUUAAGGGUGACGAGCGCACUUGGGCAGUUCCAGAAAGGGUGGGCGCGCUUUCUCGUCUUAUUUCCCUCUCCCCACACCCACACACACAUCUCGGAAGAAAAGUACUUCCUUUAUAUAUCAAAAUGUAAAGAUGUUUUUUUCUGGUUGGGCAUAAAAACGUCUUAUAUUUUGUUACGGAUGGAGUAGAAAUGAAAGAGAAAGCAUAGCCAUGGAGCUAAACUGAUAAGCUGUUGCAUUUUUUCGUUCACUGUGAAUAGACAGCAUACAGCUACUCAAUAAAAAGAAAAAAUAGACAGCAUAAGAACAGUUCCAAGACUGAAACGGACACAAACGGACGUGGCCGGGCCAUUUGGAUCCCCACACCCACACAGAACAGCUCCAAGGCUGGAUCAUUGUGGCGAGAUCUACAGCCUCUAACGAUCGAGGACACAUGAAACCGCUGAAGUCACACGCACAGGCCUGAC